UGAAUGAAACCAUCCGGUUGUUUCAUAUAAAUUUCUUCAAUAAGGUUUCCAUUCAAAAAUGCAGUCUUAACGUCCAUUUGAUGGAGAUGUAAAUCGAAAUGUGCCACUAAUGCCAUUAUCACCCUUAAAGAAUCUUUAGUUGAAACAGGUGAGAAUGUUUCAUUGUAAUCCACUCCCUCUUGUUGUGUGAACCCUUUUGCUACCAAACGUGCCUUAUAUCUGUCUAUUUGUCCCUUUGAGUUUCUUUUGGUCUUGUAAACCCAUUUGCAUCCUAUUGGUUUACAUCCUUGAGGCAAUGCUACAAGCUUCCAUACACCAUUUUUACUCAUUGACUGAAGCUCAGACUCCAUUGCUUCCAUCCAUUUUUCACAUUCUUCACUUUGCACAGCCUGUUUAAAAGACACAGGAUCUUCUAUGGUGUUGAUGUCAUGUUCUGACUCUUGCAGGUAGACAUAAUAGUCGUUUGAUAAAGCAGGUCUCUUAGUUCUUUGUGACCUUCUCAGUUCUGAGUUAUAAGGCUGCUGCUCUUGUUGAUCUAUCUGCAUAUUUUCUGCUGCAGUUGGUUGAGCUUCAGUUAUUUGAUUCUCUUCUAAAUUUCUUUCAUCAUGAAUUGGUGAGAUUUGCUUGUCACUCGAAUCAGUGAAUGGCAAGACUGUUGUUUCUCUUAUCAAAUCUUCUUUUCCUGUAAAUUCCUCAUCUUCCAAAUUUUCAUCAAAAUCAAAAUUUUCAUCAGUGCCUUGCUCACUUUCAUCCUCAAUGAAAAUUGCUCUUUGUGUUUCCAUAAACCUUGUGGUAUUGUUGGGACAGUAAAACCUGUACCCUUUUGUUCUAUCUGGAUAUCCCACGAAAAAGCAUGUAACUGUCUUGGAAUCUAGUUUCUUUUCUGAUGGAUUAUAGAACUUUGCUUCUGCCUUGCUUCCCCAGACUUUGAGGUGUGAGAGACAUGGUUUUCUGUUGCACCAUAUCUCAUAAGGGAUUUUGUUCACACUUUUCGUAGGAGUUCUAUUCAGCAAAUAGUUUGCUGUUUUCAAAGCCUCCCCCCAGAGAAAUUUUGGAAGUUUAGAACAGCACAUUAAGCUUCUAAUCAUUUCAAUCAAUGUUCUAUUUCGUCUUUCUGCCACGCCAUUUUGUUGUGGCGUACCUGGAUUAGUAUAUUGAGCCACAAUUCCUUCUUCUUGUAAAAACUUUGCAAAAGGUCCAGGAUUUCUUCCUUUUUCAUCAAAUCUGCCAUAAAACUCACCUCCUCUGUCUGACCUUACCACUUUUAUUUUCGAAUCCAGCUGGUUCUCUACCUCUGUUUUGUAAACUUUAAACAUGUCUAAUGCAUUGGAUUUUUCAGAUAUUAAGUAUACAUAACCAUAUCUUGAAAAAUCAUCUGUGAAAGUUAUGAAAUACUUAAAACCAUCAUGUGUUUUAGUGGGAAAAGGACCACAUAUGUCAGUAUGUAUAAUUUCCAGCAGUUUCUCACUUCUUGUAGCACCUUUCUUCCUCAAAUUAGUUAACUUUCCUUUAACACAUUCAAUGCAAACGUUGUCUUUGUCAUGGUGGUUAAGUAGUGGCAACAGAUUUUCUUUGUUUAGCAGAUUCAUUCUUUCAUUCGAGACAUGUCCUAGUCUCUUGUGCCAAAGUCUAUAUGAUUCUUCUUUAUCUGCUUUCCUUUUAGUGCUUAUCAGAUUGAUGUUUAGAUUAGCAGUACUUGGAUUUGGUUUCUCGCAAUUCAAACGAAACAUGCCAUCAUCUAGAAAACCAUUACCGAUCAUAACUUUAUUUUUGAAAAUGGAGAAUCCAGACUCAUCAAACUCAAACUGUAAGUUUGAUUUUACAAGCUUACUAACUGAAAUAAGAUUCCUUUUCAUAGAAGGAAUAUAAACUACAUCUACUAACUCCAAAAUAAAACCAGACUCCAAAACGAUCUUAGCUAAUCCAAUGUACUCCACCUUGACUCUUUCUCCAUUUCCCACGAACACUUUCAUCUCAGCCUUGCUUGGCAACCUCUUUGUUUUGAACCCCUGCAAACAAUUAGCCACAUGAACUGUUGCACCACUAUCCAACCACCAUGAAUCUGAAGAAAUCCCAAUUGCAUUAGACUCAAAACAAACAUUUACUUGACUAGACUUACCUUUAGCCUUCUGUUUAUCUAGCCAGCGUUUGUAUCUGUCACAAUUCCUCUUCAUAUGACCAAAUUCUUGCAGAAGUAACACUUGAAACCUUCUGGUUCUAGCCCCUUACUUCCCUUUUCUUCCUUGUUUUUCUUCCAAGCAAUUUUACCCUUUCCAAAAUCCUUUUUGGGUUUGAAGUUGUGAACCAUGUUAACUCUUUCUUCAGCCUUAUCUUUCUUCAUAUUUUGUUCUUCCUGCACACAGAUGCCUAUGAGGUCAGUUACUGUCCAUAUUUCCUUCUGUGCUACAUAGGUGCUUCUAAGGUGCUUGAAAGUGCUUGGUAGAGAAUUUAUUGCAAAGUGUACCAUCAUAUUUUCAUCCACAUUGACUUUGAGUGCUUGCAGCUUGUUCCCAAUUUCCAGCAUAUUCAAUAUGUGUGUUCUUACACACUUCUCCCCAUUGUAUUUUGCAUCAGUAAGUUGUGCCAUCAGAGUACCAAUUUCAGCUUUCUUGGAUUCCUGAAAUUUUUCCGCAAUAGAAUCAAUGAACUUCUUGGCAUUAUCAGAUGGUGUGAUGCUUCCUCUGACAGAUGGUGAAAUUGAUCUCCUCAUGAUUAGAAUAGCCAUCUUGUUGGCUUUAAUCCAUUUUGCAUAUUUUGCUUUUGCUUCAGCAGAUGCAGUAGCAGCAGGUUCUGCAGGAGCUUCUUCUUCAAUGACCAUCUCAUAAUCCAGCAAUCCUAGAGCAAUUUCCACAUCUUCCCUCCAUUUGGUGUAGUUGGAGCCAAUGAGAGUUUCAAUCGAGUUGUGAUUAAUUGAAAAACACAUAGUAUAUAUAUAUGUGUUUAAAACUGAAAAACCCCAGAAUCUUUAAAACAUGAUCAAUUCUCACCUUUAGGUGAAGAAAUCAAAACAUGUUCAUCAACACUAAGAUAUGAAAAUCACAUAAGCUUCCUGUACAAGAAAAGUUCCACAUCUUUGGACAGAAGAACAAUCUUGAUAGCCUACAUGUUUCAUCUCUUAUGCUGUUCUGCUGAAAAUAAUUGCAUGAUAAAUCAUUCACAUCUUUGGACAGUGAAUCAUUCAUUAUGCCUUUAUUUUCAACACAAGUUUGAUCAUAAAACUUUGAAUGUACAGAUCUUGUUGUGUCUGAGUUGCUUUGGCUUGCUCAGAGCACAGCAAGAACUAUACAAACUUUGAUCAAUUUCUGUUUUGUCACAGCAAGGUGUUAACUUUAACUCUUGCUGUAACAAGUUUCUUUAACCUUGAAAACUUUAAUUAUCCUUCAAUUUUCAAGUUCUAAAAGCUGCAACAAAAUUGGUUAGGUAGAAGAUAAAAUAACUUAUGCUCUGAUACCACAUGUAAACUUUAAAGUUAUAAUAACUUGAACACUAACCUUGUUCUGCCAUUGAAGCCUUUUGUCAAACACCUGGGAGACAGCUCUUCUCUAAGAUCACCGAUUGCCUUAUUCUCAGAUUCCAGAUGGGGUGAAUCACUUGAUGAGAUUUUUGUGUGUAUCGGCUCUUAGAGGGAGCUGUUCUAUUUAUAUGCAUCACUCAAGGAGUCUUGCCCAUCAAGAGACUCCUUGAGGUAUCCUUAUUGCUAUAGAACUUUUAAUCCUAAUUCUCAUAGAACUAGAAACCCCUUUAGCCUUGUAAUCCAUAUGGGACACUGACACAGAGGCUGCAGGUCGAGAGUUGUGUUGAGCUCUUGAUUAGUCUUGAGUCUUGCAAUCCGAUAAUGAAUAGAAGACCAAUUCUGAAAGGAUUGGGAUAAUAAAUUAUCUUACAGUUAGGUCAAUAGAUCUUGAAUGCGAAUGUUGAGCCUUCUGAGCCAAAUAGAGUGAACAAUCAUGUGGAAAACAUCAUAUCUCUUAGGGGGUCCAUUCACUAAAAAAUGUCGUUGCACUUGUUUCACUCUCCUUUGCAUUCUGAGGUAUUGUCUACUAGAUAUGCUCAUCAAUAUGUUCUUGAUAUCGGAUAUAUUCUUGACUGGCACUUGUACAGAAAACGACUUCCAAUCCAACACAUCACUGAAAGGUGGAAUAUAGCCAUCCGAAAUCAACACUGGGAUGCAUUCGGCAUAAAUUGCUUCUACCACCCUAGGACUUGCUACUUCGUACCCACUAGGGCAUAAGCAGAACUUGCUGCCCUUCAACAUUUUCUCAUAGGACACUCCUCGAGGAAGUUGGUCAUAGACUUGGACAUCUUGGUCUUUGCCUUUCCAUUCAUUCAGAAGAAGGGACCUGAUAUGGCCAUGCAGACGACCUGCAAAGAAAGCUAGAGUGGAUCGAGUUGAUGGAGACUGGCCACCAAGCCCUGACAUUUCUGAUGUUUUAAGAUUUAUUUCUGGAAAUGAUGCAUCUUUGGAGGGAUUAAAUCCUUCCGAAGUAUUUGCAUUGCACAAAACUCUAAUUGACUUGUGAAAUAAUAGGGGGACAAAGGAUGUUGUAAAUGGCGCCUGUAAAAGUUAAUAGUGCAUCAAGCAAUCAAUUGAAUAUAUUUAAGUUCAUAAUGAGAAAGAAAAAAAAAUUAUUUAUUUUCCAAGCUAGAAGAAAAAAGAUGAAACAUGAAAAGGGAAAAAGAACUAACAGCCACUAAUAAAAGGAACUUGGUACCACCACUCACAAUCCAAAAAGAAGGAAUUGCAAUCAAACACCAAAUAAAGUUCCAAAAUUUCUCCUCAGGACAAAGGAGGCUACAGGGAAAGGAAUAAUUUAUCUAUUUCGAAAAUUAAUAAUUGCAACAAGACAAACACAGCUAAAUAAUGAUAAAUGAUAAUAAUCCUGACAGAUAUAUGUUAUGUUUUCCAUAACAUUGGAUAAUAAAUGCCUUCAAUCAAAUGGAAAAUUUGGCAUAAGUCUAAGUAUGAUGAGAGAUAUUAGGUGCAUUUUACACAGAAAUUAUUGCUGAUUCAAGUUCUUUUAUUUUUGUGCCGUUUAAAAUUACAGGCCUUCCUUUAAUUUAUUACUGUUUACUUGUUGUAUAAGUGUGUGAAACACUAGAAAAUAUCUAAGAAGUUUGGGUGGGACCGUGGGAGGAGAGGAUUUGCAGGUAACCUAUUAAUUUUAUCAUGUUUUUUUGGUUGCGUGCGUCCAGUCCAGGGCUAGGGACAGACAGAAGUGACACACCACAUAAAUUCAAACAUGUGUCACAAAGAAAUAAAUGAAGACCUCCUAUACGUUCAAACUUUCAACACACUAAUUUGAUCAAGUAAUUUAAACCAGGGUUAAUUAUAUGCUUAAAGCAACCAUGCAUAAAUAUCCAGCCUACUUUAUAAAGUCGUACGUCUUUCAUUGGAUUCGUGAUUAUCUUUUUAUCAAGGAGAAUAUAAUCUUACAAGCCACUAGCUAGGUGUAGGUGUUUCUAAGCCACAAAUGCAAAACAGGAAACAUACAUAUAGAGAGACAAAAUGAGAAAACAGGAGCGUCAGGAUGUGGCCUUAUGUGCAUUUGGUAGCUAAGAGUAAUUUUGAUAAUUCUAUCCACGCACACAAGUAUUCAGUUUGGAGUGUAGAUUAUGAGAAGAAAAAAGUGUAAUUAUAUGUACCCAAUCGUGACAAGAUAGCAUGAAAUGGUCGGCACCAAGGCUUCGGUUCCAGAAGGGAUGCUUUUGAGCGAUGAGAUUGACAUAGUCGAUGAUAGCAAGCUUCAUGCCAUGUCGAUCGUUUGAGUUGGGCAUAUACAGGUACUGAACCAUUCUAACCACACUGAAGGGAAGAAAAUAGACAAGUGCCUUAUUGGGGUCUCUGGUACGAUACAUGUUGCCCUUCUCCAUCUCAUGAAUAAAUCUUCCCUCUUAUGAAUAUAUGCUCCUGCAUGGACCGUCAUGAAAUAUUGGCACAUCUCCUUCUUCGUACACAUAAAUCUUGAACAAUUUCUCCAUCUCUAAGUAACUCCUAAAUGAAUUGUAAAUUGUAAUAUAAGAUGUUAAGACCUCGGUAAUUGAACCAUUAAUCAUGUUGAAUUUUUAAUUCCGACCAUCCACAAUUUGACAGCAUAAGUAUUUAUUUACUAAAGAUUAAUUAGAGUUGAUUAGAAUAUAGCAUAUAUUACCUGUGGAAGGCAUUGGGGUUCCGAUAUAUGGGGCCUCGAGGAACAUAAUCAGCGUCUUGAUGGGUUGAUGUCUUGUUUCUAACUUUGGCAGCUUCUCUUAUGGAAGACCUUGCUCUACCCAAGCUUGCUUCUAAUCUAUCAAGCUGGCCGCUGCUUCUCAUGAAUACCGUUUUAUUUGCUCCUUCAUCAUCAUCAACUGCCUAAAUAUUAAUCACCAAAAACCAAAUUAAUUAAGACAUAUAUAUAUAUAUAUACAUCCACAGAGAGAGAGAGAGAGAGAGAGAGAGAGAUGAAUGAUUCUCACAAAUAUUUGAGGGGCAGGAGCUGGGGCUCCUCUUUGAUAAUUUGAGAAAGUAAAAAGUGGAGCUUGUGCUGUUGGUUGAGGCUGCCAUGUUUCUUCUCUAGAUAAAGCAACAGGGUAACUAGUACUACUACUACUAGUAUUAUUCCACGUCGUCUCCAAUGAUGACGACGGCGACGAUGAUGAUGAAGAGCUGAAGGCAGUUGGCUGUAUGAGAAAGAUUACCAAAAAAACCACCAAAGGAAUUACAAGCAACCCCACUAAAAUUGAGGAUGUGGUAGGCCUCAUUUCUCCGGUCUCCACUUUCUUUAAUGCUCCAAAAUCUAUAUAUCCACUGGGACUACUACUACUAUAGCCAGUAUAUUUUUGUUCUUUUGUUUUCUCUCUUUUUAAGUGAAUGUCGGCCUAGGCUUUGUAAUGUUAGAAAGAAGGGGGAGUUAGGGAAACAGAGGGAGGGGUAUAUAAGGUAUAACCAUAUAGUGGAAUUUUGGAAUCUCUCCUACAACUUGAACUUUGCCAGGAACCAAGCAACGUCCUGCUCAUAGUGAUAGUGACCUCUCUCUCUCUCUCUCUCUCUCUCUGUGGAUGUGGCUCGUUUGCAGUUAUUGUUCUUCAUCUUAAAAUGCAUUGUGAUGCCAUUUUCCAAAACGAAGUUGCCUUCUUUGUAUGACUUGGAAUUCGCUACUAGAAUCUGCUUGACUAUAAAGAGAAAGCUACAACACCAUUAAAAUACAAUCUAGAGGUUGAAAGUUUGACAUGUUGAAAUACUUUUUUUUUUUUUUUUUUCACUUUUUAUGUGUGCUUUUAAGUUUUUAUAUUGAGUUACAUGACAGCAUUAUGUUAAAGGGUCUGGAUGUUAUGUGAAGCAGAAUAUAAUUGAGAAAAUAUAAUUAAAAUAUAAUCUGAAUGUUUAAUUAGUCACAUAGUAUUACUAUGAAUGAGGAAAACUUGCUAUAAGAGGAACAUCCCCCCAUCAUGUGCCCUGCCUUAGGAGAAAUUAUAGAGCCGUACGGUAUCACUCCUACUGUAGCGCAACCAAUACAAAGGCCACUUAUACCAAGGUACGUCUACCAAAAUAAUGUCCGGCUUGAUCAAUUAACGAUCUUCAGUUUGGACUUUAAAAACUCGACUUUGUCAGACAGCUCCCUAUUUCAAUUCUGAUGGCUCAAGCUGGCUGACCCCAGCCAAUUCAACUAAACCCAGAUGAGCUCCCUGUUUCUUAUACUAAAUAAGAAAAUUACGUUUGUUGGUGCCAAAAGAGUAUCCAAACGGGCAAAACCAAUAUCUUAUUUGGCACUUUAAACAAAAAAUGAUCAUAAUCUCAUAACCUUUUGCCUCAAUUUUUUGUGAGAAAAUGUCAAGCAAGGUCAUUUAUAGCAAUUGAGUGUCAAGCACAAAUACAAGUCUGUCUACUGGACUGGUAGAGGAAUGGAUAAGAAAAAAUUGAUAUAUUAACAACAAAAAACUGCUCCAUCCCUAUUCCUCUCCUACUUUUCUGUCACCACUUCCUUGGCCCUCAACACUCCAGAGAUGCCCACAAAAGCGAUCACAAGAAUGCAAUGGACUCCAACAAAAAAUUCCUAGUCUCCUUUUGUCCUAAUGCAAGUUAAAUGUAGUGGACUGUGGAAGCUUAGUUAGUCUUCCUUCCACUUGUUAACAUACUCAAGGAAAGCAUUGGCAGGAUUUUUCCUUGGUGGAGCUCGUACGCGAGAAGAUCUUCGGAGCACUGCCUCCUCCAAUGCAACCCUUUGAGCUAAGUCCUUUGAUCUCUUUUCGAUUUCCAGGCUGAAAAAAUGUAUUCGGGAACCAAUAUUGUUUAGAUAAAGGAAACUGUUAUUGGCACUCCAAAAAAGACCUUGCACUCAUGCCUUAUGUGUUUACAAAGUUGUGCAGAUGACUUUUUUGUGGAGUGCCAAUAUAGUUCCCUAGAUAAACAAAAUAUAGAUGUUGAAAUGCUUCUACUGAACUAUCAAACUAUUUCAAUCUAAUGAAAAAAGAGACAAUAAAAUUAAUGAUAAAAACGACACAAAAUUUAAACUAUAUUUUGCCAGUGGAGUAGAACCAAUCAAUUCGAGCAGGAAUCUGUUUUAUGUAUAACAGUAUAAGACAAUAACAAAUGUUUCAUCAUGACCAGUGCCAACUGCCAACCAAUUGAGCAUUCAACAAACCAUCUUAUAAAAUCCAUUUGAAUUAAUAGUAGAAAGGUAUUCUCUCCUUUACCCCAACUCAUAUAUCUCAAGAGCCUCACCACAUGUGAUAAAAAAAAACGUGUGGCUCCAAUCAUAAGCUGUUCCAGCUUAUCAAUUUAAGCUUUAUGUCGUCAAUCUUAAAUAAAAAUUUGACUCUGCCUAACAUCUAUCCAGCAUGCACAAACUGGCAUGCAGAGAGGGGCGGAGACAAGGUUUUAAGCUAGGAGGGGCACCUCAGACAAUGUAGUUUAUUUAAUUUAUAUAUUCAAACAAAAAAAAUUCUUCAGAAUCCUAAUUUAAUUAGAAACAUAUAUCAUAAGAAUCCUCCAAAAUCAAUUUCAAGUCAAUAGAAUCACCACCAAAAAAAAUUAAUGGAUAAAAAAAAAUUCAGGGUAUUGCACUCUGUAGUAUAACAUUUCAGCUUAAUGAAAAGGAAAGAGGAGUUGAAGAGAGAGAGAGAGAAUAAAAGAUGAGAACAAUAAAGAAUGUGAGUAUGCUUUAGUAAUAAUUGUUAUUAAAACUAUAUUGAACAUUUCAUUUUAAAAUAUGUGGGAAGGGCAACCCCUGCGUGCGCAUGCUAACAUGCUGGCCUUACAUCUCAAGGUUUUGCCAAGAAGAGAGGAAAUAAAAUUAGCUGUUUGUGUCAGGAUAAUCAAUUGCAAGAGGGAAUCAAGGACUAACCAUAUUCUGCUAAUAAAUUUUUCCAGCUGCUUUUUAAGUGCCCUCUCCCUCUCACCCUUGCAAUUUAGUGAGCCGGUCAACAGAUAGAGCUGUACAAAAAUGUCAAGGCAGAAGUAAAUUAACAAUAAAUAAUAAAAUAAAGACAACCGAGUAUGAUGAGAUAAGCAGCUCAAUACCUCUUCCUUGCUACUGUAAUACCCCCACUGCUUGGAGUCAGAACUCUCAACAAAUAUUCUGCCAUCACGCUGGAACCACCAAUAUCUGUUAUGAUUUCUGUCUUUACCUAAGGAAUUGGUACGUAUAAACCGCUUCUCGAUCUCCCGUUCAUAAUACUCCCUCUGUUGUAAGCAGCGUCUUAAAAAGGUAGGAAACAAAAACACAGAGACACAGAAAAGAACUUAAUAAGGAGACAGAUCAAACCCUUCGUUCUUUGCUGCUCUGUCCGACGACUUCCUUUCUAUCAUCCCUUGACCGUUCCAGUGCUUCCUUCUCAGAUAAAUCCUUCCCAUUGCCAUUGGCUGUUGGGACUUUCACUUCCACUUUCUGUUUCCUGGCCAUUUUCUUUGGUGCAGCGUCCACUUGCUUGCUCCCACUAUUAGAAAUGAAAGACAUUGUUGAACUUGAACCCAACAGAAAAUCAUUAUGAUAUAUAUACACACACAUAUAUCAAGGAUAAUGGAUAAUAGAAUCAAGACCUUUUUUCCGAUGCACUAUCCUGUCUAGAUGAUCGGAUCUCACCAUUUCUUUUCUUUACUAUGUCUCCAUUCUGUCUUAUAUGAUUACCAUUUUCAGAUGCACUUCCUUUACUCUCCAAAUCCAUUACUUGAUCGACAUCAGACUCUGCCCUCAAACGUUCUUUCUCUUUUCUUUUCUUUCUGGCUUCCUCCAAUGCUUCCUCCCUUCUUGUGGCUCCAAGAGCCUGCCUCUGCUCAACAAACUUAUCCAAUUUUUCCCUAACAAUAUUUGUUUCAAGUGCAUGAUUAACCAAUUCUUGGAAGAUUCCCAAUUUAGCAUGAGCAUCUAAAAGGCCAUAGUGCCCCCGCUUGAUAGUUGCUACGUAAGCACAUAAUUCAGGAAUGUUGAUCAUUUCUAAAAAAUCGCACAAAAACUCUGUCCAAGUGAUUAGGGUAAUCUGAAAAGAAAAGAAAACAAACAAGAAAACAAAAACAGAAGAAAAAGUGAUAACUUCAGAAGUGCAUUAACACCAAACAAUACAUGGGCUAUGAAAAAAAGAGGAAAGAUAGACAAGAAUUUGUAUUGACAUAGAUAUUCAUAGGACAAACAUAGACGCUUAAAUAAUAGAUUGCAAGUGAGUGAUUAACCUUUAAUUUUCGAUUUCUUUCCCGCACAGCUGAAAAAUAUUCACCAUUGUCUUUUAUGAGCAACCGAAGAAGAGCCGAAUGAGUUUCCACAAGAAGAACCAAAUUGCCCUUCUUGUGGCAGAUAGCAUUUUCAAAAUCUUCAAGAGAGAAUGGCCAUAAGUGCAACAGCCUACCAAAAGAAGAACAAAAAUCCCAAACCAUUAAAAGAUCACCAACACAUUCCAUUGGAACAUUGAAGUCCCUUGAUGGAGAAGGGCGAUCUGUGAAAACUGGAUCAUCUGCAUCUGGCUGCACUAACAGGUCAUCAAUUGGAUAUUUGAUAGGUUCUUCCACUGGUUCAUCACCUUCUGCAAAUUCAAGAUACAAUAAUAGAAACGUGAAAUUUACUAGAGUUCCAACCAAGCAAACCUUUAAAGAGAAUGCCCAUGUACAGGGAUAUCCACCACUAACAAGAAGUACCAAGUAAAGAUUUACAUCUUUACACUGUACCUUCCACAAUGUUACUUUCCGUACCUGAACCGUCAACUUUUUUCCUUUUAAAAUUUUCAAGGUCAUGUUUUGCUUCCUGGAUAUGGUAAAAAUAUAAGUCAGGCAGAUAAUGUCAUCAUUUCAUCAAUGAACAAGCAAAUUGAAUUUAUACCUCCCCAUUUUUCCUUCUCUUAUUGCAGACUAGUAAUCCAUCCUUGAAAGAAACUUUGCUUCUUAAGUUCUCUGGAACAUUUUUUGAUAUUCCAUAACUUUGUGCAAGUUUAUCAUGAAGCACCCAAGGAGCACUACGGUAUGUAGAUUCCCGAAUAAAAGACUUCAAAAAUUUUCUACUAAAUGGCAGCUUCUUUUGUAUCACAUCUUCCCUAUUUAUUACCGAAGUUUCUAUAACUUCUUUAUUUUUGUCGAGCCAAGCUACCUCAUAUUCAAUUUUUCCAACAUCAUCUUCAAUAAUCUUCGAUACUAUGCAUGGAUACAUAUCAUCAUCCUUCCUUCCAUAUAUUUCAGCACCCACAUAUAACCGUUCCUGCAACUUCUCAGCUACCAUGUCAGAAAGGUCUUUCAAUGAAAGCAUACCUGCCAGGACAAAAUGUUUAUGAGUUGUACAGAACUGCAUAAACGUUGCAAUUACAUAGCAAUAGCAGCUCGAGAUGAUCAUAAGAAUGUCUAGCUUAUCAGGUAUUCCUUCAUCAGCAUCCAAAUGUCCAAAUCAUGCACGAUAUAUUCACAUGCAACGCCUGCGUUUACAUUUGGAUUGUCCCAAUUAUUCCAUGUGCAUCAAGGUCCAUACAUUACCCUAUAAACCUAAAUUUAACAUUAACAGAAGUAAGACAUGAGAGACAAACGCAGGAUAUCCUUCAAAUCCUCAACCCAAAAAUCAUAUAAAAUUCCUCUGCUUCAUUAAACAGGGACAUGUCCGUCAUGUUUACAUACUUGGAAGUGGAAAAAGGGGGUACCAGAUUAAAAAUAAAUUGGAAAGCAACAGAAUCAGAAAAAAUCAAUUUCAUCAAUCCACUUUUGUUUAUUUCCCCUUUUCUCUACAUUUGUUCUCACUUUCAGAUAAAUUAAAGAAUUGAUCAGGUACAAAACCGAAAAAAGAUGCAAGAAAAUCAAAGAAAAGCAAGAUAGGAAAACAGACCUCAUGAAAUAAAAUUAUCCAGGAAAAUGGGAUCUGUUUUUUGAAAUCAUGAACUAACUAACCAAAGCUAUAUAAGAUGAAAUUCACAGCGUGACUUACUUCCAAUAAUCAGACAGAAUGAAAAGAUGAAUUGUCAUACCAAAUGUCUUUCCAAAACCGAAUUUUAUACCCAUCAUCCACCACAAAUUUAGACACUUUAUAAAAAGAAAGGUAACUCUAAGCAUAUAGCCAAUGACAAUUAUUUUAUAUGAACAUACAUUCAUUACACAAAACAAAACAAUUCAGGGGACAAAACAGCAUAAGGAGUCAUGCUCUUGAAAGAAACACCAUUAACAACUUACCUAACAACACUUCAUUCAUUUUUUAUAAAUUUCUAAUAGCUAACCCUCUUCCUGUUUUCUGAUCUCUACACAAUAUUCGUACUUAUUAGGCGGUUCUACUUCCCCAUAUCAAUCACACCCCUCCUAAGGAAAAUGUCUUGUUAUCUAAGCUCAAAACUGCCCCGUUGUUAUCUAAGCUCGUAGUUUAGACUAUCGCUUGUAUUUUAAAAAUAAUUAAAAAUUUGAAAAAAUUAUAAUAUAAAUAAAUAAAUAAACAGCUCAGCUUGGCUAUCUUAAGAUAGGACAUGAAGUAUGCAAGAAGGUCACACAAGAUGAUCGGAUCCGGGUAAGUCUCUAACAUAGAAAUAGGCAAUCUCAAAAUGUGUGCUUUUCCAAACAUGUAGACAAUUUGUGAUUUCAACAUAAAUAAACAAAAUAGCUGAAAAUUCUGACUAUCUGAAUGAGACAUAUCAGUCCAUACUUUAAAAAAAAGGAAUAUUUGUUCGCUAAAAUCCACAUUGCAAAAACAAAUUUAGAGGAACAUCAAAGUGGAUAAAUUAUGGCACAUUUAAUAAAUCAACGAAACAAAGUCAAUGCAUUUCAAAUACGGAAUACAAAGUGAUAUUCAUAUCAUAUCUCAAGUAGCCAAAGAGUGAAAAGUAAUUCCCUCACACCACACCAUAAUAGUCCCUAACAAGGUGGCAAUAAGAGAUCAAUCAAAAUAAAAGAAAAUAUUUUCCAGCACAACUCUAGAACACUACAGCAUGUUUAUUGCCGUAUUAAUGUGAAACAAGUACUGAACUUUUAUUGAAAACAGAAAGCCAUUUCCACCUCAUAUUCGUGAUCAACAUCUGACAAGACAAAUCUAACAACUAAACCAUUUGGCCAGAUUCUCAAAGCACAAAAAGAAAACUAUUGUCAGGCAUGCACCACCAAAUACUUUCAACUACAAGAUGCAGGACCAAGAUCAUGUAAUAAUCUUAUGACAGGAGUUAUUUAUGUUAGAAUGGGCACCUACCACAAGAGUUUCCUCCACGUCACAAACAGAAACUAAUCUACAAACAGACAUGCUUAUUCGUUUAAUGUCACCACGGAUGUAAUCAAUUAGAGAACAAAAAGACAAUUAUCCUGUGAUGAUCUACAUUACUAACCUCCGUUAAAAAUGAUCUGAAACUAUUGAAUGGUGAAAAAUGGUUAAAUGAGGAAAAAAAAAUUUCAACGUAAUUGUUCAUUGAUCACAGUGGUGAGUUCUUACUGUAUUGAAUAAUCUGCAGGGCAGGUUCCAUUAGCUCUUUCGGGAACUGAUGAACCUUCUCAGUAGCCCGCUCUUCUGACAGCAAAGCCUCUUCAUAGGUCAAGUUAGUCUUUCCAGAGACUUUACACAUCCAAACUCUCUGGCGAUAUAAAUUUAUCCGGUUCAAAUAUUCACUGAUCCAUGUCAAGUCUGACAGACAAAAAUUUUGACCAUGCAGGAGAAUUUGAAAAGCUUAAGUUUUUUGCAAUCGUUUAGGUAGCUAAAGACAAAAGGCAAGCAGAUCAACGUUAAUUUUCAUAACCUCUUCUUCAAUUGCCUCAGAAACCACACACAAAGUACUAAAACUCAGAAAGAUCCACACACCAAACAAAAAACAAAAAACAAAAAACAGAAGAAAGAAAACUAAACAAAAAAGCCACAAACUUUCAAGACUAAAGAAAGGAUACUCGUAGCCCCGAAAUAUCUCCUCUGUAAAUCGAACUUGGUAUACAAGCUCAUGAGGUUCCAAAUCAUUAGGAAGUUCAGCCAAAGGAAAAGUCUUUCUUUUGAAUAGAGGCAUCCUUAUAACUAUGUGCAGAUGCAAUUAUAAGGGACGCAAACCUGCAUAUGAAUUAAGUUCCUGAAAAGAUAAAAAAUAGCCACAUAAAUAAUGUAAGAGUUAUUGGAAGUAAGAUAAGAAACCCACUUAGCUGAGGCUUAUACAAUGCAUGAGCCAGUUGGGUUUAAAAAACAUUUCACUUCAAGAGACACUAAAACAACUUAUAACAUAGGCCUUGACAUUUCCAUUUUCACUUCGAUUUCCUUGAUUUCCAGAGACUCUAGCUCAAGGAAAAUAGAAAAAGAAGCAGUACACCAAAAUCCCAAGCACACACACCCCAUAACAAAAAGCAAAACACCAUUUAGAAUCAAGACAAGAGUCUUCUUAAUCAGAUUCAUAUCUCAUUAAAGAAAAUAUUAGCAUUAGUUGUAAGAAUAGAGUAAAAACAAUGAAAAUAACACCAAAACACAUCCAUUCAAUGAAACCCAACAAUGAACAGCUUCAGUAAGGAUCUUAUCAGCAUUGAUUUGAAAUGCAUGGCAGCGUAGAAAAACUACAAAAACCAAGGAGAAAAAUAAAAAAAAAAAAAAACUUAUAGUUCAUUCACCGCUAAGACGUUCACCAGAAAGGUUUUUUCACCGAUUUUUCAAAAACAAAUAAAAGUAACAAUUUCAUACCCAAUAUUCGAACAGGAAAAAGAGACCCAGUCGCGAUAGUCAAACAACAGAAACCCUAGAUUCAAGAACGCCGCGUUUUCGAGGCACAAUCAAAACCGCAUGCGUUUCACAUUUCCAUAACAAUCAGACAAUAGCAUUGGGGCCCAAUAGGCGUUUGGAGAUGAAGGGAAAAAAAUCAAAAGAAUGCCGUAAAAGAAACCAAAUCGCCGUCAAUGUCGCCAAAAGUGAGUUCCCGCCACAAGUAAAACUCUAAGAAAACAGCCACAGUAAUCAAUUCAAGCAAAGCGAGUGUGAGCGUGUUCGCGGUGUGCGUGCGUGACUCUAAGGGAGUUAGAGAGAGAAAGAGAGGCAGAAAGAGAGAGAGAGAGUUUGAAUCUUACAAUGGAGAACUUGACUGACUGAAUGUACGAAGCGAAAAAUGAGAGGAGGCGAGAGAGGGAAGAGGGCGGUUCUCGUUUGUAUUGCCUCGUGUUCUUUUAUUUUUUAUUUUUUCCUUAUAUUGCUCUCAUUUUGUAAUGUGUUAAUGCGUGUUUUUUUUUUUCUUUUCUUUUUGUGAGAGGGUAAAUGCGUGUAUUUAGGGUGGACUCGAUUCGGGAAUCGAGAUUUUUUCAGCCAAUCGCAAACCGACAGACCACCGGCUGUAGUACAUAUUUGCGAUCGGUUCUGGCCCGUGGAUCGGUCGGACCGAUGAAGCGGUCGGUGUAAAAAAAAACGAUAGUCAUUGAAUUAGGUCGUUUUGGGCCAAAAACUGUAUUAAAUUUUUUAAAAAAAAUUGGUAAACAAAAGUUUACGGGAGGGGAGGCUACCCCAUUCCAAGACCAGAGUAUACCAAGGUCUCUUUGAUGACUUACAAAGGGGGUCUUAGUCCAUUUUUUGAUUUUUACAGAUUACCCACCAAGAGGAAUUGUUAGUAGUGAGACUCAAACUUAGGCCUGAAUAGCAAAGAGAACGAUCCUUACCAACUCAACUAACCCUCAUUGGCUAAAAACUGUAAAUUUUGGGUCUUUUUAUUUGGGUUGUUUUGGGCCAAACAUUAAAUUCUAUUCCAAAGUUUUUCCAGGUCUAUUUUUAAGCCUUUUGAACCCCCAGCAUUAAACUUUAAAGAACGAAAUAACUUCAUAGGAAUUCAAUUUGAACUUUGCACAUGAAACAAAAAUCCUGUUUAUAAAAAAUUGCAUUAGUGCCUCAAAUUUUGGCAUUCAAAUUCCAUUCAUUUGACCAAGCAUAUAAGUUAACCAACCAAGAAUAUAAAAUAAAGUUACAACACAAAAGCAAAUAAAGUUACAAGUUACGAUCCAAAACCAAAUUCAAACCCCAAGCAAAAAACGUUACAAUCCAAAAGCAAGCAAAAAGUUACAACCCAAAAAAAAAAAAAAGCAACGCAAAUUUAAUAAAGUAACAACCCAAAACACAGAAAAACCAAGUGGCCGAGAAUGGAUUUGAAGGAUCCGAUUGUGAUUAUGCUUGAGGUAAAGAGACGUCCUGAAAAUUAAGGCCAUCUACAUAUAAAACAACAAAAAUUUAGUAUUUAUAAAGAACAUUAUAAUGAGCAUAAAGAGAAACGAUUUAUAAUAAAAAUAACAUUAUAAGAAGCAUAAAGAACAUUCAAAUAAACUAAUAUUUCCCAGUUUCAAUCUCUUCAAGUUCCUUAUACAAUUCAAUAUCUACGGUUUCAGUAUAAAAAACUAACGUACUAUGAUCUAAAUUUUCAAUAGGCAAAACUUCGACACUAGCAUGGGCAUAGAUAUGUUAGAAGGCUCGAUUGCCCAAAUUCGAGACUCGUACGUCUAGUUAUUUUGCCAAGUGAAAAAAGAAUACGAGGAAGGUAUUUCUUUCAAAGCAUUCAUAUUAACAAAGUUUCAAAGCCAUUCAUGCAACAUCCCGAUCCAUGUUUAAUCACUUAUUAAAUUUAUUUAAUUAUUUAAUUAGGAAAUUACAAUUUUGCCCUCAAAGAUAGGGUUAUUUUGGUCACUUUUUAAUCCGAUAGGAUUUUGAAGAAUUGAAUGGCAUUAUAACAUAGUUCGCAUCUAUACGAGAUUGUAGACACGUAGUGGGCUUAAAUCGGAGUUGAAACGAAGAAGUUACGAUCAACGGAAACCUAGUGGCACAAUCGUAAAUAUUUCGAAGAUGGUUUUUAAAAUUCUCUCUCUCUCUCUCUCUCUCUCUCUCUCUCUCUCUUCCUCUCUCCUCUCGCGCGACACAGCGCAUUCCCCCCUCCCCGCGUCACUGUUCAGCCAACUGGUUUUUGGUCGGCCACCAUUCUCUCCCGACCACCACCGGCCUCAAGGUUGGUACCAAAAGAACCACCGUGACCUCCCCUCUCCAUCCCACCCCAUCUCCGCCACCGCCGCAGUAGGAAAAUCGUAAGGUUUGGUUGAUUUUUACCCAAAACCUUCAUCACUCGUUCUGGCUAUUUCAGCCACCAUUUUCGUCGAUCUAUGUAUGUUUUCUCACCCUCUCAACAUGUUCUAGUUGAUGGUUGGUUGAUUAGGAUCGAUUUUUGAAUUUUGAAAACUCGAUUUGUAACUCAAAGUUUGGCAUUUUUUCGUUUCGUGUUUUAGGCAAUUCUGGUCACUUUUUGGCCAUGGUCCAAGAACAAAAUUUGCUCCACUCGUUGUCCUAAUCACAUAGGUAUAGGUGUUUCAAGAAUUUUUCAGUUGCCGGAAUUUCUUAAGACACCCACACUCUGUCGGCACCUGGGCACUGUUUGGGUGACCUAUUUGGUCCUAAAAUGAUACUCAUGUCGUCCGAGCACGACGAUAUACUCGGAUUUGAAUUUGGUUACUGUUUGACUGUCGAUUAGAUUAUGCAUAUUAGGCGUUAUCCGAGUUCGAUAUGUUCGGACAGUUGGAUCGACUCCAAUUUCAAAUAUGUUGAUCUAGGCAUCUUUAGGAUCGUGUAGUAAUUUGCGGAUCGUGAAUCGGAGUCUUGGAUGCUUCGAUUCAAUGAUUCAAAGAUUAGGUUAAACAGUAACCGUCCGAUCUUGCGAUCACGAGCAAUCUGGCCAUUCGAUUUGGACCAAACUUGUAGGACAUGUAUAAUAAAUCUUGUUGAACCCAUAGGAACUUUCAGAUCCAAAAUCGGAGGUCAUGGGCCUUGUGGGCUCGGUUGACCAAAUUUGAAAAGUUUGACCACUCGGUUGACCGAGCGUCUUCUGAGGCUAUUUCAUCAUCCAGAACACGUAGUUGGACCUUAGAAACUUCUCUUUCGUCGUACACACACUUAAAUCCUGGAAAAACUAGGAUUUUAUUUUAAAGUUCUCGUUCGAAGUAAUUUAAGUUAAUCUUGUUAGAUAUAUGCCCUAGAAGCCAAUAUAAAAUGGAUAAUUCUAAAAAAAAUAAUAUAUAAUAAUCAAAGGGGCUAGAACGUUGCUUUAGAUACAUAACGUACACAAAGUAACAAGUCCAUGGAUUAAGAUAAAUGGAAAGUGGUCUAAAGAAGUUAGAUGCAUAAGACCUUUCCAUACAUAUAAAUAUCGUAUCCUAAAAUGUUCCUGGUCAUAGGAUUACCAAUUGGACAAUGGUGACCCGCAAAGACUGUUACACAUUAUGUCUGCUCAAUUGGGAGAAUGACUAGUCUCAAGUCAUUCGUGUAGAGACACUGAGACAGCUGUGUAGGUGCUCUAUAGAAGAUGGAGUUCACUCAACGCGAUCAACUCUAGAAUUCUUGUAUGGAAGUUUUACUCACAAGUGUCAAACAGAAUUCUAAGUUGUGAUAAUGCGACAUCACAGUUGUCUUGUGUAUAUGUUGUUUCUCUUUGAAAACACUAUAUGGUCGUAUCAAAAUGAUGUGACUUAAAGGUGUUCCUCAGGAUUCUCAAUGUGUAUGCAGAGAGAGGUGAAUGUACAACAAGGAAUCUCUGCUCUUAGCAAGAAGAGAGAAUACUCUAAAGAUAUGAUUCGUGAAUCUUUGGCCAAAGUAUUGGAUGGAAAUUGAAACAAGAACAUUUGCAAUUUCAUCAAAUUGAAUCAUAUAAUCUAGAGAUGUCAUUUUAGGAAUUUUGACACAAGUUUACUAUAUCCCGAGAAUAUGACAUAGAGUAUUGAAUUAGAAAAGGAUCGAAUUGCAUUGUAAUCACAAACUGACUAGAUUCUCUAAAUGAAUUCUUUUUAGAUUGGGUAGCCAUGACAUAUUGCUAGGUGUCACUCAUCGCCUGUGGAAGCCCUGUAAAGACUAAUUAUAAUUAACCUUCGCCAAUAGGGAGAAUUGUGUGGAGGGAUACAAUUCACACUUGACUCAGAGUGAAUCAUUCAUACCAACUGCCUUACUAAUUAGAACCUAUAAGAUCGCACACCGAAAAGGAAUCAAUUGAAAAAUUAUGAAGAGAAUGAGUGAUUUUGUGACUUGGUCAAAGUCAAUGUGAAAGUCAAAGGUCAAAGUCAAAAUUCAAAGGUCAAAGGUCAAACAAUUGACCCGACACUUGACACGGUCAAUUAAGGAUGACCGGGACCAACACUUGUUAGACAAGUGAGCGAUUGAAUUAGUCAAGUCACUAGAGUAAUUAAAUUGAUUAGAUUAAUUUAAUUAUUCAAUUAAAGUUAUGAAACUUUAAUUAAAGGUUCCAUAUGACUUGAAAAUUCAAAAGGGAGUUGGCCACAUCAACUUAGGCACAUAUGUGACACAUUAUAGGAUUAAUGUGUUGGACAAAGAUAGCAAAAGAUGCCACACAUAGGGGCGAUGUGGCUACACUAGGGUUUGGGGGCAAUUUUGUCACUCUUGUGACAUUUUUGAUCCUAUAAGUGUGUAGCUAUGGAAUCUUAUCAUCCUUUUCAAGUUGGUGAAAUUGGAAGAGAGAAAACAUCAAGCUCUCUCCCCCUAACCCCUUCAAUCUAUCACAUCAAGUGAGGGUGCUAGCACCACUCUUCACUUGUUGUCUCAUUCUCUCAUCCCAUUCAAUUUUUGGUGAAUAGCUUUGGGGAGGUGCAUAUCUUUGUACCUAUUUGGAAAGCUACAAGGUAGAGAAUCAACAUCAAAGGGAGAGCCAACAACAAAGGGACCACUCCCUCUACUUGAACACCAUUCUUGGUUUCAAGAUUUGCUCCAAGGGUAUGAACAUCUUUUCUUUCUCUCAAAUAGGAUUUAGAGUCUUUGGCGCACACUUUCAUAGACUUAUAAAGAUUGAGACCAAAUGAGACUUGCAUGAAUCCCUAGUUUAUUUAAUGCUUUCGCUCUUACUUUGAUUUCAUAUUAGAUAUAGCUUGCUAGGUGAUUUAUACUCACAAAGUUUGGUUUUAGAGUUUUUAGAAAUCUCUACACAACACCAUUUCCACAAUAUUCCCUUCAAAUCUCCCCCUUGUAUUUUUAAAUAGGUACUCCAACUUAGCGUACCCAGUAGGCAGGACCCAUUUAGGGUCAGACAGCGUUUGACUAUCUAUGAGUGGACUUUGUUUUAAACUAUAAUCAUUAUUUUCAAGGAUGGGAAAAAUAUGCAUAAUGAUUUCUUGAUUAUUGAGUUAUUAUUUAGUUAAAUAAUGAAUGAAAUAUUUUUAUGAAAGUAAAUGAAGUAUAUUUGAAUAAUUUUGGAUUGUGAUUAUUAUGGAAUGGAUAAGUGCUAUUUUUCGAGAAUGAAUAUUUAUGCUUGGUAAUGUGUGGGGUAUGUGGGUUUGCUAGUAAUGAGUUUGUGGAAAGAGAGUGGAUUAUAGUUUAUGUCAGUUUGAAGUGCUAUAAGCACUACCCUAUGUAACUCCCCGGAUUUGAAACACUAGAAUUGGAUACUUGGAACUUUGUGAUACUUGGAUAUGUCUGAAGUAUAUUUGAAUAAUUUCGGAUUGUGAUUAUUAUGGAAUGGAUAAGUGCUAUUUUUCGAGAAUGAAUAUUUAUGCUUGGUUAUGUGUGGGGUAUGUGGGUUUGCUAGUAAUGAGUUUAUGGAAAGAGAGUGGAUUAUAGUUUAUGUCAGUUUGAAGUGCUAUAAGCACUACCCUAUGUACCUCCCCGAAUUUGAAACACUAGAAUUGGAUACUUGGAACUUUGUGAUACUUGUAUAUGUCAGAACUCGAGCACCCUUGACGGGGUGUUUCGUAGCCCCUUAGCGGGGUUAGUCUGUGCUCGUAGGACUUGUCACAGGCGUACGAGUAUUAAGGAUUCUGCUGUAUGUGUUGGUGAGCUCAGUCUCCAGUUGGAUGGCUCGUUCCCUAGCCACAUGAUUAAUUAAGGAGUCUUCCAUGUGGACUAGUCAAACAAUCACUCGGUUGGAUUGUCUCCCGAGUACAAGUUUGGUAGUGGUCAUACUUAUAUAUAUGCAGAUAUAUAUUAUAUAUAUACCUAUCCUUUCAUUCUUGUUUAUCGGUGAGGAUACUUCCUCGUUGGUCGUGCAAACGGGCACGCGUUUCGAGAUAGUUGUUGGGAAAGAUUUUGGAAUGGUGUUGGUGAGAGUAUACUAUUACGAAUUAUGGAUUUCACAUUGGUUUGACUUAACUAUAUAUAUAAAUAGAUACGUCGAUUUUGAAUGCAUGUCAUUUUCAGCAUCGUUUUCUAAACGGUAGGGUUAUCAUAUGUUGACUUCAAGGAUAACAUCCUUUGUUUUUGUCCACUCACAAGUUUUCUGUUUUGCGCCCCUAGGUAGUAGAUCGCCUUGAAAUCGAACGGCCGUAUCAAGUCGUGAACUCUGAGCCCGAGCUUAUGUAGGACAAACUUUUGUUCAUUUCUGUUCUGUUGAACGUUAUUUCCUUUUGUAAUCUGAAACUCUUUAGACUACUCUGAUGUCGCCAUGCUAGGGUUGGAUGUAAGGCCAGAGACCCAAUAUGUUAAUUGCGUGAUAUUAUCUUGUGCAUGCUGCUGGUUGGUGUUAUUAACCGUGUUUUAACAGGUUAAAUUUUUUUGGGAAUGUCCAUUUUUCAGGGGAGACUCUGUCGAAAUUUUGGCAGAAAGUCUCGUCUCUUUGUAGUAAGUGGCCCUGGCAUCAGUACGAUGUUAGAAAUACCACAAGUUUCAUCCUGAAAUUCAAGGAAUUCGGGGCAGGUCCUGUCAACUUAGUAUUAGAGCAUUAGAUUCAUUUUUCUUUGACUUUCACACCUCUGUUGCAUUCUUGGAACUAACGACUCCCUUGUUUUCUUUCAUAUAGAACUAUGCUCCAUCGACAUGGUACAUGAGAACCUGUUUUCCCGAGAUGGGGGAACCUGCACCACCUCAACCUCCACCACCAUCUCCAUCUUUACCACCACCUCCAUCUCCACCAUCUUCACCUGUUGGUGAGGAAGCUGAAGAGAAUGAGCUCGACUUGCGCCAUAUACUGGAUCAUUUCACCAGAACUGUGACUAUGGCUCUGCAAGGGAGGCAUAACACUAAGGUUGUAGAUAUCAAAAGGGCCAAGGAGUUGGGAGCUCAUGAAUUAUUUGGUACUGCGGAUCCUACUGAAGCUGAGAAUUGCCUCACCGACAUUGAGAAAGUGUUUGAAGUUUUGUAGUGCCCUAAUGGCGAUCGAGUUCGGUUGGCCACCUUCAUCCUGAAGGGAAAUGCCUAUCACUAGUGGAAGAUUGUCCGUAAAGGGUAUGCUGAUCCUACUGCUGUUACUUGGGGGGAGUUUCAGCGUGUCUUCUACGAACAACUUGACCAGCAUUCGUGCCGAAAUGCGAAGAAGUCCAAGUUUCUUCAUCUGAAACAGGGGUCAAUGUACGUGCUGGAAUAUGAGCACAAGUUCAAUGAACUAUCUCGGUUUGCUCCUGAACUGAUUCCCACUGAAUAAGAGAAGUGCAGAUGCUUUGAGGAGGGUUUGUGGCUAGAAGUUCAGGGCAUUGGUCACCGCCACCACUAAUCCUAUUAUGAGGGCACUGGCCCAAGUAGGAAAUAGUGUGGCAAAGAAGCUUAGUGCGAGUUCAGCUAGGCGUCACAUGGACGCAUCUGGCUUUAGUGGACCAAGUCAGGGUCCAUCAAAGAGGGAUGGAUCCAGCUCCAGUUUAGCAGGUAGUGGAUGGUUUGGAGGGCAUGGGUCCAGUUUUGGUAGUAGGAUAUCUGGGCUUAGGCCAACUUCGAGUCAGCAUUCUGGGUAGCAGUCGAUGGCCAGUACGGUUAGGGAUCCUUCUCGAUAGACUAGCUCAACUUGUCAUAACUGUGGACAUGUGGGAUAUUUUAGGAGGGAUUCCCCACAGCUUGGGCAGAAUAGUGGUCCCAGUCAGAGGGGCAGUGUUGGUUGGUUUUACUGCAGUCAGGUGGAGCACUUUAAGAGUGAGUGCUAUCUUCUCUCUCUUAGUGCUACCAUAAGAGAGGAAAUUGGGGCCUAACAGGGGCAGGAUAGUUGAGUCAAAGUAAGAGCUAGAGUGGUGCUUCAUCAUCAGCUGCAGGCCCUUCAUCUAGUAGUGGAGUGUAGUCUACUUUUCGGGGUAGGGGUGAUAGACACCAAAGGGGUCUGCCUGGGCGUUCUACUACUCAGGCUUGUGUAUUCUCUAUGACUUAGUAGGAGGUGCAGGCCACACCCGAUGUCAUUACCGGUAUGAUUCCUGUGUUUGGUUACUUUGCAAGUGUUCUAAUAGAUCCCAGGGCUACACACUCAUUUAUUGCACGUAGUUUCGUACCGUAUGCAAGUAUCAGACCUGCACCCAUGGCUAGAAGUAUUAGUAUUUCUUUACCUACAAGGGAUGUCCUUUUUACUGACAUGGUCUUUAAGGGUAGUUUUGUUCAAGUGGUGAUGCAGUGUUGGAAGCCGAUUUGAUUCCCUUGGAUUUGGUCGACUUCGAUAUCAUCUUGAGAAUGGAUUGGUUGGAGAAGCAUCAUGCAUCCCCAGAUUGUUUCCAAAAGGAAGUUGUACUUCGAAGUCCGGGACAACCUGAAGUCACUUUCCGUGGAGAGCGUAAAGUUUUCCCAUCAUGCCUAAUCUCAGCCAUAAUGACUAGGCGAUUGCUCAAGAAGGGAUGUGUGGGAUACUUAGCCCAUAUCAUCGAUACUUGUGAAGUCACUCUGAAUGAUGGGGUUAUUAUAUAUUGAUUUCAAGGAUAACAUACUUUGUUUUUGUCCACUCACAAUUAUUCUGUUUUGCACCCCCAAGUAGUAGAUCGUCUUGAAAUUGAAUGGCCGUAUCAAGUCAUGAAUCUGAGCCCGAGCUUAUGUAGGAUAAACUUUUGUUCGUUUCUCUUGUGUUGAACUUUAUUUCCGUUUGUAAUAUGAAACUCUUUAGACUGCUCUAAUGUCACGCAUGUUAGGGUUGGAUGUAAGGCCGAAGGCCUAAUAUGUUUAUUGCAUGAUAUUAUCUUAUGUAUACUGCUGGUUGUUGUUAUUAAAUGUAUUUCAACAGGCUGAAAAUUUUUGGGAAUGUCCAUUUUUUAGUUGAGACCGUAUCGAAAUUUCGGCAGAAAGUCUCGUCUCUUUUUAGUAAGUGGGCCCGACAUUGAAAUCCCACAGGUUUGUCCCGGAUUUCUAGGAAUUUGGGGCAAUUCCUAUCAAUUUAAUAGUAUUGUGAAGAUGGGAAGAAACACCAAACCUCUCAUUAUAACAAACAUUUUCUUUGAAAAUUCACAUAAAAAUUCUACUGAUAACAAAAUGAUCAUGUUAUACCAUAUAUAGCAUUUAAAGGGGCAUAUUGGUCAUUCCAUACUAUUAAUAUGGCACCAUAGUUGCCAUUAGUUCUUACAUAGAUAUGUUGUGAGUAACUUGUCUUGUUUCUACAAAGCAUAAUAUAUCAAAAUUAUACAUUACAUGUAACCUUUUGACAUAAUUCAAAAACAUAGGCCUAUUACAACUUCUACAAUAUCAAACUAGAAAUUUCAUCAUUCAUUAACUAAAAAGGGAAUGUAGCCUAAACCCUAAAAUGGCAAAACUGUUGACAGUUACUUAAGGUGUGAGGCAAUGUAGCCUAGCACCAAGAUGUUUCUUCAUCUCUUAGCCUUUGAAUACUUCUUUUAUGUCACCAGAUCUAUAUAUAACUAUGUAUCUAUCUCUCUCAUCAUAUGCAAGGUUUUGAAGAGAAUUUAAUAUUCUAUUUUCAUUCAUUGUUAAAAUUAUUUAUAGAGUCUUAUACAUAUCCAAGAGGGAGAAAGUUAAACUUUGAGCUGUUAUAACUCCAGUUGUACAAAUUAGUUAUUAAUUAACUUUACUAAUUCUAACUAAUUGCUAAUAGCUCACGUGUUUGACUAAGAGCUACUAACAAUCUCUUACCUAGAUAACCGAUCAUGAUUAGAUCGUGUGAGUUGUGUGGCUUCUCCACUUUUAGCCCCCCCUCAAGUUGAAGUUGACUCACCAAACUGAGAGCUUGGAAGUAAGAAACUAAAAAUGAGUUGUGGAUAAGGCUUUAGUAAAAAUGUCAGCAAGUUAAUAUGAAGAAGGAAACAAACUGAAGGUUCAGCUAGCUAAAUUGAACAAGCUCCCUGAUAAAAUGAUAAUCAACCUCUAUGUGCUUUGUACGAGCUUGAAACAUUUGGUUAGAGGCUAAGGCCAUAGUUGUCUACUCGUCACACCAUAAUACUGGGGAAACACCAAGAAAGAAGCCAAUAUCUUUAAACAAUUUUGAAAUGUAAAGAAGUUCUACAACAGCCAUUGCAGAGCCACGAUACUUUUCCUCAGUGCUAUUGCGAGAAACUAUAGGCUGCUUUUUGGCAGACCAACAAAUCAAAUUGGAACCAAAGAAAACAAUAUCCGCUGGUUGAACGUCGAUCAAUGGGACAACCAGCCAAGUUAGCAUAUGUGUAAGCAUGAAGAGUCGUGUGGCCAAGUUGAAACCAAAGACCAUGAUUGAGAGUACCUUUGAGGUACCUAAGGUUGCGUUUAACAGCUCCUAAAUGAGAUUCUCUUAACUGAUGCAUGUGAUGACACACAGAAUUAACUGCAAAAGCCAAAUCAAGCUUGGUCCAAGUAAGGUAUUGCAAAGCACCAACUGUGAAACGAUAGAAAGAAGGAUAUGAUAAGAGAACUAUUAUUAUCCAACUUUCACCAUGCCAAAUUUCUCUUUACGCAACACUACAUAGGCAUCUGCGAAAUGAAAUACCGAUGCUGUUAGUAUAUUAGGCAUCGGUUUUAUAAAUAAUAAGAUUAAAAGUAUAUAAAGGCAUCAUCACAAAUUUUUGGUUUUUCCUACCAAUGCCAUUGAUAGAAAUAUACUGAUGCGUAAAAUGGUUGUGCGAAAAAUAAAUUUAAGUGCCACAUUUAGCUUCGACGCCAAAAGCCUAGUUGACUGCUACAAUGAUUUUUCACUAAAAAAUUUCGGUCCCUUGUGAAUAUCUCAAAUUCCCCCUCUCAUAAAAAAUUUCCCUCUCUUCUCUCUCGUGAUACCUAGUCAUAGAUAGUCACUCUGAGCCCUCAUCCUUCUCACCUUCAAACUCCUUCUCUUCUCUCUCACGAUACCCCCAGUCACAGUCACUCUUUCAUCCCUCUCACCUUCAGCAUUUGUCUUCUUCAUCGAUGUCUUCUCUGUUCUCCAUCCAUCUCUGCCGUCAUCUUCUUUGUCCUCAAUCUGUAUCACCAUCUCCAAAAUUAGAACCAACAAAACCACACACUUAGUUCAACCAACACACUCAGACGGAAUCCAUGUAUAAGCUGCUUAGAAUCACCGAAAGUAGGUGAUUUCAUCAAUUAAUCAAACGCCCAAAUUUGGGUAAUUUGUUAUAAAUAUCAUUUUUAAGUUUAGGGUUUGAUUAUUCUUCAUCUGAGAUCUAUUAUUUUUUUAUAGAUGUUGUUGCGUGUUGCAAUUUGAAGCUUAUUUUUCAAUUUAUUAAGGGUUGUGGUUUCUUGACAUUGUUUACUGAAAAUGGCUGCCUUCUUUCAGAGACUGGGUAAGGCAACCACAAUAACCUUCAACAACUUAUCCGGAGGUCAGUUGAAGUCCAAAUUUUGCAUUCCCUUUGGAGCUCACGCAGCUGCCUUUGGUGGAGUCUCUUAUCUCUGCCUGUACUGAAUCUUGAUAACUACAGGUAAGACAAAACAUCUUCCUAUCUUGAUUGUAUUUGUUUCUCAGUAUUUGAGUUCUGAGUUUCGUACGCUUCCAUUUAUGCUUUUACUAUUUCUAUUUGGAAACCAUUUUGUUUAAAACUAUUUGAAUACUCUAGUUUGGUCUUUGAGUGUUGGUAAAAAAAAAAUUUGGUUAUUUGUUGGCAACUAUGGGAAAUAUUGUGAUGCAAUUUCAUUUAGUUUUAUAAUAUGCAUAUGCUUAAUUUAGUUUAAGGCUAGGAUAUAAGUAAGGAUAGGGUAUGCUUGAUUGUUAUUUUUUUUUACAUGUCUUUUAUAUGUGUAUUAGGGUAAGGAUUGCAAAUUGGCUUUUGGCUCAAAGGACAAUAUUUUGCAACUGGCAUAAUGUGCCUCAAUAGUUGCUUCAUAAUGUUUCUUUAGGAGAGGGAAAUAUAAAAGUCUCUGUUAAUUAUGCCAUAAAUGGAGCUUCUCCACUACCGAUACCAGUGAAAGGAGCAUUGAAUAUUGUUGAGGAUGCUGUUGGGUCUCAUGUAGCUUGGCCAGAGGAUCUUAUAGUUUUUAUAGAUGAUAUAGUGGUAAACCACCUUACUUUUGAACUUGUUUUAUUUCAUAUUAUCCCUAAUAUAUAUGUGAUAAUUGUAGAAAAAGAAAAACUACAAAGGAAAAAUUAGUGAAGUCAUUGUUUCAGUCUAUCCCGGAAACAGUACCAAAGUCUUGCAAGAUUUUAUACGGCUUUGCACAGAAACUGAUGUCCCAAGGUUAGACUCUCGCUUCAUAUAUUGAUGAGGACAUAUUUGGGGUAGAAAAGAUGAUAUACGUCCUAAAAGAAGAUGUGAUCAGCUUCGUUCAAAUGAACGAAAUAGGACAAGCUAACCGCUUACAUUAGGUAAUAGUCACUUUGUGUUUUAUAAUUUUAUGUUUAUAUUUGGAUAUUAAUCAUGUGUUUCAGUUUACUGACUCUAUGAUAAUGGUUAACAACUAUUUAUAUAAGUUGGUAAAAGACAAAGAAUGGGAACGAAUGAUUGCAUUUAUGGACCCAAGUCAUACCACAAAUGAUCCGAUGUCACCGGAUGAGGCAGGGAGGGUUCAAUACAUUGUGAAAGCUUUGAAACAAGCUAGUAUUGACAGCAUCUUUUUGAUCCCAUACAAUCCUGGUUAAGUAAAGUGGUUUGUUUUUUAGAGUAUAUAUUUAUGACUAUUACUAAUAUAUUUCCAAUUAAUAUGUAGGGGUCAUUGGAUCCUUACAAUCAUUGACGAAGAGAGAGACAAUGUGUAUAUCAUGGAUCCUCUUGGGGUUCGUCACCCUCAUGAUGUGUGGAAACGUAUUGUAAACGCGUAAGUCGUUCUUUUUUAGUUAUUUCCUUAAUAUGAUUAUGGAACUAAGGUCUUUUCUUAUUGUGUUUGCUAUUUUAUAUGUAUUAAUCCAGCCUCUUGGAGUGUAUUUUGUAACUAUAGUCCAUCUAGUAGUUGCAUUCCCCUUUCAAUUUUUGUUUAUGGUGAGUCAAAAGGAGUUUGUCUGCAUUUAGCUUAUCAUUGCAACUUUAGAUAAGGAUAAAUUAAGUGUAGCCAAAUUGCCAAUUGGACUUGAAUUUUGACCAUCCUUGACAAGUUCAAAUUUAUUUUCGACUGUCCCACUCUGGACAUGUGAAUCCAUAAAUGGAUGGCUUAGUCCUUUUGUUGUAGCAUGUUUGAGUCUUUGUUAUGGAUUGGAUGAUUGGGUUCAGCUGAAAGACCAAAUUUUUUUUUAUUCCUUUGUUUGAUGUUGCUUCUUUUCGGCUCUGGCAAUGUUUCUAGCAUUGAGGUGACUUUUUCUUGUGUUUGGAUGAAUGUUAAAUAUAAAACCUUAUUGUAGUAUUUUUCAUAUACCGUUAUUGUAUUGGUCAAUCUACUGUAGAAUGUGCAUGAUUUCUUUCUUAUAGUUUCUGUUUCCUGGGCGUAGUUGCUGUCUGAAGAUAAGUUUACUUAGAUGUUUUUUCUAGCAAAUUUUAAGAGGGGUAGCUUCAGUGGUUUUCUUCUUGGUUCUAGUUUCUUGCUUUUAAUUAAGUAGUAUUUGCUCUUGUUGUUUAGUCGAGGACAGCUUGUCCUCUUGAUUAUCAAUGCAAUUGUUUCUAUUCAAGAAAAAAUAAAAAUAAAAAGUUGCUGUCUGAAAUCUUCUAACAAUUGAAGUUGAAUUCCCUGUAUUUUUUUUUAUGGUAUUUUUGUUUUUCUUUAGCUUCUUGUUAAAGAUUGUGCAUAGCUUCUUGUAAAUGAUUUUAUAGUUUUUCUUAAUCUUAUAUGCGCUUUCAUUUAAUUUCAGUAUGCGAGAAGUGGGAAAAAGAAGGGAUUUUACACCCAAAUGGAAUUGGACGAGGUUCGAGAUGAAUGGGCAUGUCAUGUGCUAGAGUGGAUUUGAGUUUCAACAUUCUCCUUCUUGUUUUGGUAGUAUUUUGCUUAUAUAUGUAUGGAUGAUGGAUGGAUUUUGGUUUACAGGCAGAACUCAUAAGUUUACAUAUAUAGGAAUGUGUGUUUUGAUGUUGCCAUGGCAAUAUAUAUGAAAUGGAUGAGAUGACUAUAUUUUGAGACAAAAACUAAGUAAAAUAUGAUGUGAAACAUGGAAAUUGCUUACACUUUAUUAGUAACAACGAUGUCUAUUGUGUAUAACAACAUCAGUUUUGCCAUAACAACUGGAGUUAAAAAUUAAAAACAACAUUAGCUCUCUAUGGGAACCGGAGCCUAUAAUCAAAAGGGUCAAUAAUAUUUGUAGAAAGUCAAACUAUUUGUAGGCUUUUCACUUCAGCAUAAGCACAAAAAACGAAUGCGCAAACCAUAAUUUGCAACAGUAGUGGCAUCUUUUCUAAAGUGGUAAGUCAAAACAUGCUUAAGUAUAAUCAAAACCCUUGAUGCUAUAAUGAGUAUUUAGCAUCAGUGUUGAUAUAUUCCCUGAUGCUAUUAAAGGUUUAGGCAUCGGAGGUUAACCCUCUUUUUGCACAUGGUAACAACUUACGCAUCGGCCAUUAAGUAAAUAGCAAAGUCGUAAAUAAUCUUUAGCAACGGAUAAUAUCCGAUGCGUAUGACUAUAUCAUACGCAUCGGUUCCCAAUACUUCGGUUCUUGGGUACCUUUAGCAAAGGAUAUUAUCCGAAGCUAAAAGUCAAUUUUCGCAUAUUGUUGUAAGAGCCAAGAGGUAUUGCAUAGGUCUUGGCAUCCAAGAGGUAUCCAUAUCAGUAUGCUUAAGCAGAUCAUAAGCAUAUUUCAUUUGAGAAAGAAAGAGACUAGAGGCAGAUCAAGUAACUUGAAGACCAAGAAAAUAAUGUAGAGGACCCAAUUCUUUCACAGGAAAUUGAGCACUUAACUGUGUGAUAACUUGUUGGCAAGUAGUAGGAGAAGAACCAAUGACCAAGAUGUCAUCAACAUAAACGAGAACAAAAACUGGAGAAGAACCAUGCUUGAUAAAUAGAGAAGUAUCAGCCUGAGAAUAAUAAAAACCCAAAGCAAGCAGAGCUUGAAAAAUCUCAUCAUUCCAGGGCCUUGGGCUUGUUUCAAGCCAUAUAGAGACCUAUUUAGUUUGCACACAUAGUUAGGCCAAACUAAGGAGAAGGAAGCUGGGAUUGGAAUCCAAAUGCAAGUGGCUGGGCGUGAAGGGUUGAUGUGGGAAGACUUACCUUUUUGUUAGUUUGAUUUUUAUAUAUGAAUUGUCUCCUUUUUGGUGAAGGACUUGGAGUCCAAGUCGGCUAGGUAUUUUUAGUUAGGUUAUUUUAUUAGUUUUGUCCCUUGGACUAUCUAAGGGAUAGUUCCUUAUUGUUGUUGGGGGGAGGGGGAGGAGAGAUAUCAACGUGAAGAAUAUCAAGGAGACAGAGAAGACGACAAGAGGAGAAAGGAAGCUCUCACUUAGGUUAUUCUAAACUCAUGCUAUUUUUCAUUGUGAUUUCAAUUAUGAUUAUGAGGAACUAAUUUUCUUAGCUAGGGCUACGAUAUAGCCUUAUCAUAAAUAUUCAAUUUCUUAGUUAAUAUUAAUUUCAAGUUUUUCCCUUUUUUAUUGAGUAUAUUUUGUUGUGCUUAAUGUUUAAGUUGAAUUAGUGUGAUGCAAGUUAGAGUAGAUGUCAUACUUAACUUGAGUUCUGCUUCUUACAAUUGAUACCAUGAAUGACUAAUUGUAGAUGCCAUGCAGUUAGGGUUUGUGUGAUCGCUACAUAAUUUCCAUAGAGCUUAUUGGGUCUUUAUGUGUUGAAUUCAUCUAGAUGCCAUAAAGAAUUGCAUGUAAAUAUACUUUUGAUGUAACCAGAUGCCAUGGCCAUUGAAUAAUUUAGGGAAAUUGAUCAUCAAUAAGGGGAAUUGCUUGGAAUUUAUAUGCUAAGGGAUUGGGUAAGAUUGGUUAAGGUGAAAUCGGAUGCUCUAGUGUCUUUCUCUCUUGGUUUUCCUAAAUUCCUUGUGUCGUGCAACUCUGCCUUUAGUUUUAAUUGCUUUCUUUAAUUUUAGUUUUUCUUAAUUACAAAUUCAAAUCAAUUUCAUCCAUUAAAGUUUCUCAAUAUAAAAUCAAAUUCAGUUUAAUUGGUAGGAAUAUUAAGAAUUAAAUCAAUCCUUGUGGGACGAUAUAUGUGCUUACUUAGCUAUACUAUCUUUUCAUUCGUAUACUUGCGAGCAUUAAAAUUUGAUUUGCUAUACCUAAAUUUCGCAACAAUUAUCUACUUGUAUGCAGUUGUAAACAUUCUUCUUUCAAUUAUCAUCCUUUACUUUGGCCAAAAAUUCGACGAAUCAUAUUUUUAGAAUAUUCUCUCCUUUUACAAGAGUAGAGAUUCCUUGUUAUACAUCCACAUGUCUUUGUGCACAUGCUGAGUAUUCUCUUGAGCAACAUCUUCAAGUCACAUCCUUUUGAUAUGACUGUAUGGUGCUCUUAAAGACAAACAACUCAUACACAAGACAACUAUGGUGUCUCAAGUUUGAGGACUAAUUCGCAUUAUCAUACCUUAGAAUUUUUUAUUUGAUACUUGUGAGUAAGACUUCCAUACAAGAGCACCUACACACCUGUCUUAGUGUCUCAACAUAAAUGACUUGAGACUAGUCAUUCUCCUAAUUGAGCAGACAUAAUGUGUACCAGUCUUUACAGUUCACCAUUAUCCAAUCGGUGAUCCUAUGGCUAGGAACACUUUAGGAUACAAUAUUCUUAUCAUGGAAAUGUCUCGUGAAUCUAACUUCUUUAGACUGCUUUCUAUUUAUAUCUUUAUCCAUGGACUUGUUACUUUGUAUACGUUGUGUUUCUUAAAGUAACAUUCACACCCCUUUGAUUAUAUUAAUUAUAUUAUAUCUUUAGAGUAUUCCAUUUUUAUAUUGGCUUCUAGGGAACAUAUCUAAGAGUAGACAUAAGCCAAAUCAUGAGGCUUUGAUCACAAUAAUACCAGAGAUCAAAUGCCGGAUUUACAAUAAAAGCACCAUCAGAAUCAAGAAUUGUCUGAGCAAGUGGUGGUUCAAAUCCAGUAACAAGACCUAGCAUUCUAAAUUUUCGAAGAACAAGAAGAAAAAAAAUUCUUCCAAAGAAGAUAGUUCCCAACCUUGAGCUUGAUUGGAACCAUUCCAAAAAUGUUCUUAAUGGUGACCUUCGAAAUCGAGGGAGAAAAAGAAGAAUCAACAGUAGAAACAGGACAAGCAGGCAAAGAAGAAGACACCGCUCCAGAUAAAGUAAAAGAAGGCGUGUUUGCAAAGAAAUUGAAAGAAAGCGAGUGUUUGUAAGACAAUAAAAAGGGAGAAAGGGCGAGAAAAUUAACAGAGAGAAGACGCAAGACAAAGGGCUCUCGAUACCAUGAAGAGAAUUGAAUAUUCUAUUUUUAUUCAGGCUAAAUUGUAGCAAUGGUCCCUGGACUAAGACCAAACUUUACUUUUCGUCCUUAUAUUAUUAAAUUGUAACGGUGGUAUUUCAAUUAGAUCUCAUGUUGCAUCAUUGGUCUUUCUGUCAACUGAGUUAAAUUUUCUAUCAAAAUUAAGGGCAGAUUGGGAAAUUCGUAAUAUAUAUAGGGUAAAUUACUCAAAUGGUCCUCAAACUUAUACCUGAUUUACAUUUUGGUCCAUCAACUAAAUUAUUCAUUCAAAUGGUCCAUCAACUCUAUAUUAUUCACUCCAGUGGUCCUAUCGUCUAAUUUUCUAUUAGAUUUAACCUAAUUUUACUGUAAAUAAUCACCAAUUGCCUUCAUAUUUAAUGGAAAUAUUGACAGAAUGUAACGAUAUGACCAAUUAAGCGAAUAAUAUAGAGUUGAUGGACCAUUUGAACGAAAAAUUUAAUUGAAGGACCAAAAUAUAAAUCGAGUAUAAAUUUGAGGACCAUUUGAGUAAUUUACCACAUAUAUAUAUAUACAGAGAGCUUCCAUUGAGUGAUCCCUCAAAUAAGUUAUUUGAGGGACACCCCUUGUAGGGCCCACUUUGGAUUGUAAUUCACUAAUCCAAACCAUCUAUUUUGUAGAUACUCAUUCAAAGAUUAUCUCUACAAAAAAAUCACUUGAAUCUGAUAUCAUUUGACCAUUCAAUUGAAUUAUUGAAAUUUUAAUACUUUCUUGAAGCACCGUGUUCAUUGAUUUUGUAGGACACAAUUGGAUGUUGAAAUGGUUUUCAAUUUGUCUAAUUUUUUAUAAGGAUAAUCUAUGAAUGAAGACCUAAUCCCUCAAUAGAAAGGGACUAUAUAUAUAUAUAUAUAUAUCUCUCUCUCUCCCUCCUCCCCUCCUAUGUGCUCUCCCUCUUCCCCCGACAAUUUCUUCUUCCCCUAUUCUCCCAUGACUACCACCUGCAAGCUCCAACGCUAAAACCUAUUCCACAACCACCCUCUACUGUAGCCCGCAACCCUAGUACCCAUGAACCCAAAACCCCAGCCCCCACCCUCCACCCCAGAUCUAGUCAAAACAGAUAACCAAGAGGGUUGAUGGUUAUUCAUAUUUCAAGUGAUGAAUUUUCAAUUUCAGUUUUUUCUUUUAUCAUUUUGCUGAUAAUCUGGCCUUUUUUUUAAAGAUUGGUCACUUUGGAUUUGCUAGCUUUUUGGGUGGCUUUUUAUCAUUUUGCUAAUAUCUAGAUAUGGGUUGUUUUAGUUUUCUUCUUUACUUUGGAUUUGCUAGCUUCUUGGUCAGGUGUAUUGAUCUGCUAAGAGAAAUUGGUCACUUCCUAUAGCUAUGUGUUUGUGUAUUGCCAAAAUUGUAGCUAUGGGUUGGGGUUCUGGUUCAUUUGAGGGCUAUGGAAGAAUAAAUAUGGGUGAGAAAUCGCCGGGGGGUGGGGGAAGAAAUCGGAGUUGAAGAGAGAGAGAUUUUAUUUAUUUUUAAAAUUUUUGUGUGAAAAGUAAAAUUUGGUCUUUGUCCAGGGACCCUUGCUACAAUUUUGCCUUUUAUUAAUUGUUAAAAAUUAUUUACAUAGUAUUAUAUCUAUAUAUAUAAAGCAAAAGGCAGAGAAUGGUAAAACAUUUAAAAUACCAGAAAAUGACAUUGAUUAAUACAACUAUUAAGGUUUGAAAUUAUUAAUUAAAUGAACAUAAUAUGGCAAAUGUACACAUUUUCAUGUUAAAAAAAUUACAUUAAAAGUAAAAUUAGAUAAUGGAUUCUAUUUUUAUGAAACACUUUACCUAUUCUCUUUUUUAAUUCUAAAAUAAAUUUAAAUUUUUUUUAAAAAACCUCUCGCAAGCAUGGAAGCACGUGCAGAGAGUCUAGUAUAUAUCUAAGGGAGAGAAAGUUAAACUCUAAGCUGUUAUAACUCCAGCUAUAUAGAUUUGUUAUUACCUAACUUUAUUAAUUCUAACUAAUUAUUAAUAGCUCACGUGCUUGACUAAGAGCUACUAACAAUCUCUAACUUGGCUAACCGAACGUGAUUAGAUCGUGUGAGAUGUGUGACUUCUUCACUUUCAGUUUUUAGCCUAGAGAGCCCAUAACUUGUUAGUUUGAUCUGCCAUGUCGUCUAUUGCUUGGAAGGUUAAAUAAUGAAUGUAUGCAAGUCAUUUCUAUUUGAAGGUUCUUCUACAAGUGUUACAAUCUGAAGCUACAUUGGCAUAUUGCAAAAUUAUUUUUAAGUAAUCCAUAAAAUAAUCUCUUAAAAAUCAAUCUAUCUUAAUCAUCCCUUGCUCCAUUAUAUGCUUAAGAUUUACCAUUGAAACAAAGACAUCAAUAUAUGCAGAGAAGUAACUAACCAUUCUAUCAUUAGAAGACCAAAAGCAAAUAUAAUAAUUAUGAGCAUACGCAAGUAAAAAAAUAUAAAAUAAAAAGAACCCAUUAUUAAGAACUUAAAGCAAGACCAAUACCCCACGAUAAAUCAUGUUCCAACAUUUACUGUAUUACGUUUACUCUUGCUACAUAUAAGUGCUCAAUAAUUAUCCAUCUUGUUAUUCUCCAUAUCUAGAAGACCAUGUUAUUGUUGAUGUGAGUCUCCUAAUUAAUCAAGGAGAUUUCCUUCCUUGAUUAAUUAAGGGAUUUACUUUCCUAUUUUUAUAUAGUUGACAAAUCACUGUAUAAUUAGGAGAUACUUUUCUAAUUCUUUACUGUAUCUAAUUCCUUAUAAAGCACCUUGUAAACUCUUAUAUAUACCUCCUUAUAGAGAAGAAUAAAGUUAACCUAAUACAUUCAAACCAUAUUCAUAUUUUAGCAUGGUAUCAGAGCAAUCGAUCCUCGGUUGUCUCUAACUUCUCAUAUCAAAUUUCUUCAAACACAAACUCUAAACCCUCAUAUCAAACUUCCUCAAGCACAAACCUUAUAUCAUAUUUCUCACCUUUAUCUUUCCCAAAUUCAGAUCCCCAUACACAUAUCCCUCAUUCCUUCAAAUUCCUAAACACAUAUUUUUUAUCCUUCUGCUGCCAUGGAUAUUAAUUGUCUCGUCUUCCGAAUCCACCAAAUCCACUCCACCAUCCUCCCAAAUUGCUACUAUUCAUAGUGGCAACACUCCGUUUCCGACCGGCAUCAUCUCGACUGAGACCAAUUAUGCCUCAUGGUCUCAGGUCAUGGAGAAGCGUAUUGCUGCCCGCGAAAAAUUGGGGUACCUCACCAGCGAUGCCCUGCAACCUUCUAAGCUCUCCUCCAUCUACUCUACAUGGUGUACGGAGAACUUUCAGGUGAAGGGGUGGCUUAUUGACUCCAUGUCUCCCGACUUGAUGAGUCGUUUCAUCCGUUUAAGUACCGUCAAAGAAAUCUGGGAUGCCAUGAAGAAAACCUACUUUGAUGGUGGCGAUGCAACUUUCCUCUUUGAUCUCAACAAAUGGGCGUUCACCAUUAAACAGAAUGGUGUCCCUGUUCACAAAUACUACAGCCAGCUGCAGACCAUCUUUGAGGAGAUUGAUCACCUCACUCCCAAUCACAUGCACUGCGACGCCCAAAUUAGACCUUGACCAAACCUUUGCAUAUGUCCGUCGCAAAGCUCAACAAAGACUGACCAUGACCAGUACUCCAGACACUACUAUCCUGGCCACCCAAUGUCCACCGGGUCCUCCUACUUCUACCAAUGGUGCUUCUCAGACUCAAGUCACAAGCUCUCAUAUGGAACACAAAUGCACUCACUGUGGUGUAAGCAAACAUACCCGUGCUGGCUGUUACGCAUUGAUUGGUGUUGUGAAUUUUAGACAACCUGAAAAAUGGAGAUUAUAAGUAUUAGUCUAAACACAAAUUAUACUCGCAAGUACAUAAGGACAAUCUUAAUAUAGUAUGGCAAAUAUGAGGUCAUUCCCACGAGGAUUGAGUUCAACUACCAAUUAGUCUAACCUAAUUUACUUCACAAAAUACUUUAACUACUGUAUUAAAUAAACAAGAAAUUAAACACGUAAACACAAAAGGUGUUUUUUUCGAAAGAAUGAUUUAAUUAUCAACGAAAUUAAAAGACAAAACAAGUAGGAAGUCAUGAAACACAAGGAUGAGAAAUUCAAAUUGAUAAAAGCACUAUGACAAUGAAUUCACCACUAGUAAUCCGAUCUAGCCUCUUAUUCACCUACCUAUUAACUAACCAUUUGAUGUCGCCGUUUAGUUUUCCUUUUUCAUGAAUUACCUAUGGUAUUUAGGCUAACUCGUAUAUUCCUACAUGCAAUUUGCGUAUGGUAUUUAGGUCCAAUAUCAACACAUAGAAACUCAUUAAGAUCGGUGAAAAUCUCGAACAAGCAUGUAAACCCUAGGAGUAUGGUAUUUACCCUAGACGAAUUGCAAAUCCUAAUCACAAGAAGCAAGUCUCAAAUUAAGUAUGGUAUUUACUCUAAUUUGCAUCCGAUUAACUCAAUUAAAAGUCUAGAUGGUGAUCAAGCAUCAAGAUAAUCAACCAAGUUAUUAAGCACAGUGAUUAAGAAUCCAACAUCAAACAACAAUUAAUAGAUAAGUGAACUAGGAAAACUAGAUUAUCAUACUAGGGCUACAUCAUGCCCUAGCAAAAGAAGAUUAGUUGAACAUAAUCAUAGAAUUCGACAUAAAUAAAAACAUAAGGAAGAAACAAUAAUACUUAGCCAAUUGCGGUACUCUUUCGGCAUCUCCAAUUUCUCCUAGUCUUUUCGUCCCCCCAAAGGAGUUGUUUCUCAUGCUUAAAUAAAACACUACAUCUCUAUUCCUACCCUAGCUGGGCUUUUACAGCAUUCCAAAAAUAAAGAAAAACCUGAUUAAAACAUAAAUCCAAAAUGGGUAAGUAAUUGACUCCUCUUCCUACUUGGACUGGGAUAACACAUCAGUUACUUUGUAGGUAUGUUUGGGUUGUUCCUCCUCCAAGAAAAUUCGGAAAAAAUAUGUAAAUUGUAGAUUUUUGUCUUAUCUUUCCAGCCAUACAUCAUGUCUUGAGGAAAAAUCAGGAAAGUCUUCAAAUAUUCAUUCUUCCACAGCAGCACAGUUUUGACGGGAUUGCACCUUAUGCUGAUUUAACUUCAAAGACUGCUCUCAUUGGCUGCUCCAAAAAUUCUAGAAAAAUUCCACAAUCAUCUUCAAGGUCUUAUCUUUCAUCUUCAAUUAGUCUCGUACUAAAACUCCACCAAAAAGUCGUAUUUCCGUUGAAAACAAAUUACUUACUUUAGAAAGCUGAAAAUUGAAAAAAUAAAAUAAUGAGUCCUUUUUACAUCAAAUUCUCCUACAAAAACUAAGUAUAAAGAGUACACAAAUGUGUAAAUUUGUGGACUUAUCAAUUGGGUACCCGGAUUGGUGGGACCACUCCAAAGCUCCGUGCAAGAAUAGGGGCAAAUCACUCAACACAUCUUCCGACUCUGCUCUUGUAAGUCCUGCGGUUCCAACGGCACCAGCUCCUGCCUCUGCCUCUGUAGCCACAACAGGUACCCAAAGUUAUGUUUUGCAUAGUUCUUCAAAGAAACACACAUGGGUCAUUGACACCGGAGCCACUAAUCACAUGACCUUUGAUCCUGGACAACUUACCUCUCAUACACCGUCUUCUCAAUCAGUGGUGUCUAAUGCCAAUAGUACCCUUCUCCAGUAAUUGGGGAGGGUUCCCUCUCUCUCUCUCUAACUCCCUCACUUUGGAUUCCGUGUUGAUUGUUCCAUUCUUUCAUCAUAAUCUUUUGUAUGUUGCCCAAAUUACUACGGUUUUGAAUUGCACUGUAAUCUUUUAGCCUACUCAUUGUGUUUUUCAGGACAUCCUCAACAGCAAGACGAUUGGUUGUGGUACUAGGAAGGGCAAACUCUACUAUCUGGACUUGGCAUCUGACAGUGAAGCUAGCCUCAAUAAGUUUACAAAAUUGGGGGUACGAGUGUUGAGAAGAAAAAUUCAGAAGUAUGGUUAUGGCAUCACCGUCUUGGACAUACUUCAUUUGGAUAUUUACAUAAGCUAUUUCCUUCCUUAUUUUUCGAUUUAGAUAUUUCCAGUUUUAAGUGUGACAUUUGUGAACUGGCCAAGAGCCACCGUGUCCCGUUUCCCUUAAGUACAAAUAAAAGUUUGAUUCUUUUUUCACUUGUUCAUUCUGAUGUUUGGGGCCCUGCUAAGAUUACCACUCCAGGGGGAGCUAGAUAUUUUGUCACGUUCAUUGAUGAUUGCACACGCAUGACCUGGGUUUCCUUUCUCCAAACAAAAGGGAAAGUCAGUUCCAAGUUUCAAUAGUUCUAUCAAAUGGUAGAGACACAAUUUCAUACUAAAAUUCAGGUUCUUCGGUCCGAUAAUGGAGGAGAAUUUCUCAACCAUGACCUUACUCAGUUCUUACAAGAUCAUGGCAUCCUUCACCAAUGCUCAUGUCCUUACACCCCCCAACAGAAUGGUGUGGCUGAAAGAAAGAAUAGACACUUAUUGGAAGUAGUUCAUUCCUCUCUUUUUGGUGCCAAUAUGCCUAGGCCCUUUUGUGGAGAAGUUAUCCUAUAUGCAGCAUACCUUAUCAGAAACAUUCCAGGAGGAGGAUCCGACAUAUGCACCAUCCUCUCUGCUAAUAUGCACCUCAUCAGAAAGGGUACUGGUGUUAUCAUCCUCUGAGUCAGAAAGUCUAUACUUCUAUGAAUGUUGUCUUCCAGGAAUCCGACAUAUAUUUUUCAGCCGUCGAGGAGGAGGAUCAAAAUGCUAACAUUUCUCAAAUUUCAGAAAUUUUUCCUGCAGAAAGGUCAUAGAAGGAAAACGACCUGUCUCCCAACGCAAGCGACCGGUCGCCCGAGAAUUUGAAUUGGCCUAAAAGCAACCAGUCACAAGUUGAAAGCAACAGGUAGGCCCCCAGAAAUCUGACUCUGCCCGAAAGCGACCGGUCGCCAAAGGACAACGACCGGUUGUCUCCCUGCUGUCAAACUCAGGAGGAGAAUAUUGAGGAGUUUUUGCCCGCUCCGGAUAAUUAUUUUGUGCCAGUAUCACACCAAUCACCUCCUGAGCACGUCAUUCAGGAAACAUCUUUUUUCUGAAACUGAUAAUAUUAAUGAAAUAUCUCAUGAUGAUUUAAUUUCAGAGGGCACAGAGCCUGCAUAUCAGAUUCCAAAACGGAAGAAUCGUAGAAAACCUCCAGUUCACUACGAAGUAGAUCUUAAUGCAAGAGGAAAAUAUCCCAUCAACAAUUAUGUAUCCAUCAGCAGAUUAUCAGAGUCACAAGUACACUUAGUGAAGCAGCUGGCUGACAUACCCAUUCCCAACAGUGUAACUGAAGCACUAGAAGACUCAAAAUGGAAAGAAGCCAUGAAUGAAAAAUAUGAGCCCUCCAGAAGAAUGGCACAUGAGAACUCGUGCCAUUACAUCAUGGAAAGAAGACAGUAGGAUGCAGAUGGAUUUAUACUGUAAAACUCAAAGCAGAUGGAUCCAUUAAAAGAUAUAAAGAUAGAUUGGUGGCGAAGGGGUACACACAAAGAUAUGGGAUAGACUACCAAGAGACCUUUGCCCCAGUAGCCAAGAUUAACUCUAUCAGAGUCCUUCUGUCUCUAGCAAUAAAUGUAGAUUAGCCAUUACAUCAGUUUGAUGUAAAAAAUGCUUACUUACAUAGAGACUUAGAGAAGAAGUAUAUAUGGACUUGCCACUAGGAUGUAACUUAGCUCGUGAUAAGGAGAAUCAAGUUUGCAAGCUCAGAAAGUCAUUAUAUGGGUUAAAACAAUUCCCCAAGGCAUGGUUUGGCAUAUUCACUAAAUCCAUGAAAAUUUUUGGGUAUAUACAGAGUAAUGAAGAUCACACUUUGUUCUUGAAACGUGAUGGAAGAAGACUUACUGCAUUGAUUGUUUAUGUGGAUGACAUAAUCGUAAUUGGAAACGACAUAAGAGAGCAAUUGAAACUACAGAAGUAUUUGUCUCAUGAAUUUGAGAUGAAAGAUUUGGAAGAUCUAAAGUACUUCCUAGGAAUUGAAGUAGUCAGGUCCACAACUGGUAUCUUUCUAUCUCAAAGGAAGUAUGUAUUAGAUCUACUCACUGAAACAGGAAUGCUUGGAUGCAAACCUGCUGAUACACCCAUUGAGAUGAAUCACAAGUUAUGUGAAGACAUGGAUCAAGAACCAACUAAUAAGGAAUAGUACCAAUGCGUUGUUGGAAGGUUGAUGUAUUUAGCUCACAUAAGACCAGAUAUUGCAUAUGGUCAGUUUAUGCAUUCACCCAGUGUAUCCCAUAGGAAUGUAGUUGAUCGGAUCUUAAGAUACUUAAAGUCAGCACUUGGAAAAGGGUUAAUGCUCUCAAGAAAUAUAGAUCUCGAAGUCGUUAGAUAUACAAAUGCUAAUUGGGCUGGCUCCGUUAUUGACAAACGCUCUACUUCUGGGUACUUCACUUUUGUGAGAGGUAACCUAGUCACUUGGCGGAGUAAGAAAUAAAAUGUGGUUACUCGAUCCAGUGUUGAAGCUGAGCAUCGAGGAAUGGCCCAUGGAGUUUGUGAAUUACUAUGGAUCAGAAGACUAUUGGUAGAAUUGAGAUUCAAGCCAGAAAAGCCAAGGGAGUUACACUGCGAUAACAAGUCAGCCAUCGAUAUUGCCCAUAAUCCAGUUCAACAUGAUCGAACUAGACAUGUUGAGGUGGAUAGACAUUUUAUCAAAGAAAAACUUGAGAAGAAGAUCAUCCGCCUACCAUUGGUAAGAUCAGCAGGUCAAUUGGCAAAUAUCUUAACCAAAGUUGUUUGUGGAAGAGUAUUUCAUGACUCACUUACCAAGUUCGGCAUUAGUGACAUAUAUGCACCAACUUGAGGAGGAGUGUUGACGUGAGUGUCCUAAUUAAUCAAGGAGAUUUACUUCCUUGAUUAAUUAAGGGACUUACUUUCCUAUUCUUAUAUAGUUGACAAAUCACUGUAUAAAUAGAAGAUACUUUCCUAAUUCUUCACUGUAUCAAAUUCCUUGUAAAGUACCAUGUAAACUCUUAUAUAUACAUCCUUAUGGAGAAGAAUAAAGUUAACCUAAUACAUUCAAACCAUAUUCAUAUUUUAGCAGUUACAACAAAAGAUUUCAGUUAAAAUUUGGAAAAGAACAAUGAUAUAAUAAGGUAACACUAACACCUAAUGAGACACUCUAGUAUAUGACAAAUUACAAGUGUAACAACUAAAUUUUAUAUUGUUGUCACACACACCCAAAGAGCACAUGAAUAAUAGAUGUAAAAACUAAAUUCUCUUUCAUUGGUAACAUGGAAAACAGAGGACCACGCAUACUGAAAACUGAAUUGGAAAACAUAUCAUAAGUCUUACACUCAAAAGGAUUUUGGUUGAUCCACUUGGAAAAGUAAGCGAAAAUUAGGUUCAUCCAUGACCAUAAAGUUGUGAAAUGUGAGUACAAGAUAUAAACACAAGUAACACAUUCCAUAUAAUGACAAAGCAUGUUUAUACCAUAAUCAACCGAACAAACCUGGCACUAGGGGACCAACACACAGACAAAACCAAAGCCUGCAGAAGGCAAAAUCCUUAAACAUUGAUGACUUCAUCAUGACCUCAGCUGCCGAAGAGACAUCUUCCUCUGAUAUGACAAUAGCCUGCCAAAGGCGUUUGCUCAAGCUCUAGAUGGCAGAACUUAAGCAUUUGACAUGUGUCACUGGCACAUUGAUUUGCACAAAGUCUCACAUUGAAACUUUGUGCAAAUGCUCACUCUCAUUCCUCUAUAAAAGGAGAACAGUGUCUAGGUGAAAAGGGUAACUACAUUUCACCUUUGCUGUUACUAUGCCAAAAUUACCACUUACCCUACUCUAGCUGACUUAAGCAUCGGAGAGCCUUCGGCCAGCACCACACCGAUGCCCGAAGCUUGACAAUUGUUUCUUCUAUCGCACUUCUGCAAGUCUCCUCCCUACCGAAGGUCCACAUCUCCCGAGUCCUGCUCAAGAUUCUACACUUCUUCUAUCUAAGUUGAAUCCAAUUUUGGACAUCAACAGUUUGGCAUUGUUUGUGGGAAUCGACUUCUAAAUCUCACAUCUCUAUUAGGCUCGCUAGCUCUUUUUCCUAUCAAACCCAAUCGUCUCUUCAGUCCAUCACACUCCAUCAUACCAAGCUAAGUUAGCCUUGGCACUCAAAAUCAUGCCCCCCAUAUUGAAGCCUCUAGAAGGAAACCUUCAAUCGAUGCACAUCUUCAAGCCAAAGUGGAGCCACUUUAUGCCGAUGUUGCCAAAAUGAUGGAGAACUACGAACACCUCCCCACUAAAAAUUUUGAGUUGGAACAUGACUGCAGAACCUUGAAGCGCAACUUAAAGAACACUUGCCACUAGUUAGCACAGCACGAAGUCACCUAAGGUGUCGAGCAUACCCUGCUGAAUCAGCCAGCCAUCUCAUUUCGUAGCGCCCCAAUGCAGCCUCGACCUGACAAAGACAAAGGCCACAUUCAACCUGAAGCAACCAAGUCGCGACCUCUCUAACUUUUACCACCCAGGGACCAGCCUCAUGCCCCAACCUAGGUCUACAAGGAUUAUAUGGAUCGCAUCUCUGAGCUUCGCCAAAACCCUUUAAGAUUCUGGUAGAUCUCGAUGACCCACAUGUCACGCACGUUGGCCCUCUACAAAAGCCCAAACAUCUCCCUCAUUAGGAGGUGGUUAGUGAUUCUAAAGAUUGGGAACCUUAUAACCCUGGGGACUAGGAGCUUUACUAUUCUAAAGCCUUUGAGGAAUGGGAAAAUUAUCGACCACCAACCCCGAUCUUCAACACCCGACACCCUUCCUUAUACCAAUCCCGCUAUGUGACUUUUAUUUGAGAAGGUUCGCUACCUCGAAGAUAAGUGACAACGCAGCCAUCAGCCCUUCUAGUCGAAGCCAUGCCAUGGUCCCUAUACCGAGAGCAUCCACACUUACUGUCAGGAGAAGGACGUCUAGCCCCUUCACAAAGCCUUCUACACUGGUACUGAAGACCCCAUCACCCAUAUCCACUCCUUCUAGUCUGCCUUAGAAUUAAGGGCCUUAGUGAUGAGGGCAUAUGUCUUAUAACACCUAGUGUGCUCAUGUUCGUCCCAAAAAUCACUGUUCGUAGACACGAAGUGUGCUCAUGUUCAUCCCAAAAAUCCUUAUUCGUAGACACGUAGUGGGCAUAUGUCGUGAUUAUUUAACUGUGGAUUUACGCUUUUGCCCUUAGAGGUAGGGUCACUUUAGUCAUUUUUUGAUCUGGAAGAAUUUGGGGAUUUUAGUGGCAAUAUUUCAUAGAGCUCACUCUCACAAGUUCGUAGACACGUAGUGUGCUCAAAUUGGAGUUCUAACGAAGAAGUUGUGGUCAACGAAAGUACAGUGGCAUAAUCCUAAAUUUUUCAAAGUUGGGAUUCAAAAUUUCUCUCUCUCUCUCUCUCUCUCUCUCUCUCUCUCUCUCUCUCUCUCUCUCUCUCUCUACGCUUGCAGCAUCAAAUUUUUACAGCAAUUUCGGCACCGUCCGGUGUCCAAUUCAAGCGAAAUUAGAUGCAAAAGUUUCGUAUUGACAUCCUCUGUCUAACCCAACCAUUUUCCCAGCUCAAUAACGCAAAGGAAAUUAAACUAAAAUGACUGUAACUUUGGGUGAUUUUCAAAGUUUCCAGCAUCAUUUCCGUUAAUUCCAAUAGCUAUUUUCCUUGUCGUCCUAAGCACGACGGUAUACUCAGAUUUGAAUUCGGUUAUCGUUUGAUAGUCGAACGGAUAUUGCACCUAUUAUGCGAUAUCCGAGUUCGAUAGGUUCGGACCUUUCGAUCGGUCCCAAUUUCAAAUAUGUUAUUUCUCGUACUUCUAGGAUCGUGUAAGAACUGGUUGAUCAAGAAUCGAAGUCCCGGAUACUCCGAAUCAAUGAUUCUAGGGUUAAGUAAAUCGGUUAACGUCCGAACGUACGAUCGAAAGCUAUCUGACCGCUUGAUCGAGACCAAAGUCUCGAGACGUGUUAUGUAGACCUUGUUGGAUUUAUAGGAACAUUCAGACAGAAAAAUCAAUGGUUGUGGGCCUCGCAGGCCUAAUUGGUCAAAUUUCGUGAUUGGCGUCAAACUGACCUCGAACUUUUGGUUAUGGGCCAAUAGGAAUUGUCAUAUAACAAAUUGAGGUCGUGGGCCCUACGAGCCCAGUUGACUUAGUUAGUGGGCUUUGUCGGCUCGGUUGAGGGCUUUUAGUAGUUGUAAUUGUAACUGGAUGUUUGUUUUUAAAUGGUAUUAUGCUUUGAGAGUUUUAUUAAAUGUUUAUGAAAUAUUAUGCAAUCUCUUUUAUUUUCCAAGCAUGUUAUAUUAUGUUUAAUUGUGUGGAGUUGGGAAUGGUUUGGAUAAUCAGGUUUUGGCAUGAAUAAGGAAUUAAUUAAAUGCCUGAUUAUAUGUCUAUAUUUAAAUAUAUAUUUGGUGGCUUGAAAUUGAUGAAUGAUGGAUACUAGUUUUCUCAAUAGUAUGUUGUACACAUUUGAAUGUAGUUUGAGAACAAUUUUGAAAGAUUUUGCAUGGUCAAAUUCAAGCUAAGGAAUGUUGAGAUUGAUCUCGUUUUAAAAAGGGAUUUUUGGUUAUCUAUUGAAGAAUUGAUUUUUGGAAAGUUGAGAAAGGAUUUGGAAAAUGGAUUUGUGAAAGUGGAUUUGUGGAAAAGGAAUUUAAUGAUAAGUUUCAAAAAAUGUUUUCAAACCCACUACAGGAGUAUCCCCCCAGUUGCCUCCGGAACAGUCUAGUCAUAUAUGACAAUGCCCCACGAGUCUUGGGGACACCUAAACCAUGUGGUUGAUUAUGUCUUCCUGAGUCUUUUAAGGGAAUUUGACGGAUAUGCUUUUUGGGCUAAUCACUCGAUUCUUCGAGGAUAUGCAUUUCGAGCUGAUCACCCGAUUCUGCGAGGUCAUGCGUUCUCAGGAUGGCCAUGUGUUCCCUGAGUUCUACGAUGAUGUAAUAUAUAUGGUACUUAGAAUUGACGGAACAUUAUUGGAAUUGACAGAUUAUGAUCGGGAGUAUACCUAGGUGGAGAGUAUUUGAGUUUUGAGAUGUGCUGAAGAAAAAUGCGAACCUCCCAACAUAAUUUCACCACCACUAAUUAAAUAAUAGAGUUUUAUUAUUUUAUGUUCGACCCAUUCGAGACGCAGUAUCUCUUAAUUAUAAUCCCUUACUUUAAGAGAACACCCUUUGAUUCUAUCAUAAAGAAACAGAACAUGUGUCUUCGGUUCACCCAUCGAGUCUCAUCAAGUAUCCCAAGUUAGUGAACUGCAACGUUUUGGUCUAAACCCGGCAUAUCUUGAUAACUCCAUGCAAAUACACCUCGGUACUCUUGCAACAGUUGUGUGUAUUCUUCUAACUCUUAAGAUGUUAACGAAGCACAAACAAAUAUAGGUUUUGGGCAGUCAAUUGUACCAAGAUUAAUUUCUUGGAGAUCAUCAAUCGUGGCUUAACCUCCCUCCUUCAUUUGUGGUAGAGCUGGUUGGACUAUGUCAAUGAAUUCCUCAAUAUCCUGAGGAUUAUCAUCAUAAUCCACUGUUUCUUCGAAAGAGGUGUAAUUGACUUGGACAAGGUCGUCCUUUAUUUUCACCCUUUUGACUAUUUUGAUCAUAGCUUUCUCUUGACUCUUAACCUUCCAUUUCCUUUUAUUAUGGACUUUUCCUUGUUGAGAAUUGUUAGGGUUCUCCAAGCGUUGAAAGACUGAGAUGCGAGGUGGCUGCUGCUCUCUAGGCAUUUGAACACAGAGAUGCAAAAUGGCCUUGUGUUCACCUCAUCUUCUCUAAACAUAGCUUGUUCCAUAUUAUGAGCACUUCAGGCUUGGAAGCUUCAGGCUGUGGCCUUCAAAGAGAAACUUUGAGCUUGCCACUCUCAUUUUGAACUAUGAGGCCAGCAUUGCUUUUCUUUGCUUUACGGCCUUUGAGUUUUAUCUUUAAUGGAGCAGAUAUUGUUUUUGGCAAUGAUGCCUUUUGGUGGACGACUAUUCGUUUACUCGAGCCAUCGUUUUUUGCCAAAAGUAGUCGAAAUGACCAAACUGCCCCCUGGGAUAGACUGAUUGAUCUUUCAAAAAGGACGAAUGUAGCUUGCGGUCAUUAGUGACUCCAUUGUUUGUUUUAACGAGCUUAUUUCCUUUUCACUCGGCUCCUUUUUUGAAGUCUUGACAAUUAUCUUCGACUUGUGAGCCUUUGAAGUCGGGACUUCUUCAACUUUUGAGGAUGACAUACCAUGAGGUGUUAGCUUCACUCGAAUUACUCUUGAAGGUUUGGGUGCUCCUACCUCUUGUGAUUUUCCUGCUUCAACAGUCGUUCCUUUCUCCUUAUCAACCUUUUAUGGCUGUGUAAAUGAGAGAUCAAGGGGACCGUAAAACUUCGCAUCAAGUAUGCCCCUAAACGGGUCCAUCUCAGCUGAAACGUUCUUAACUUCCCCAUCAAUCAAGUAUUUGAAGCACUGGUGAAGUUUAGAAGGGACUACGCCAUAUGUAUGGAGCAGAGCAAUAAAGCCCAUGGAUUUUUGCCCAAGUUGGUUGAACCCUUGAAUAGUCAGCAUAGAGGGAGACAACUGUCGAACACUCAUCCCUAAAGCAUGGAGCGUCUUUAAAGGGACAAGAUUCACAGCCGAACCACAAUCUAAUAAGAUUCGAUUAAUGGUCGUGCCUCCAACUUCGUCAGUGACGUAAAGAGGUCGGUUAUGGAAUUUGGACCCAAGUAACCAAAAGUGAUCGCCACUAGACACGAUGCACAAAACUUCGAGGUUUCAGUUGUGUGGACAUCAGCUGAUUUGAAACAUGACUUGUACAAAUCCAGACUCAUUAAAGCCAUUAUAAGUGCUUCCCUAAGCUCUUUUGACAUUUUUCAAGCGUCAUAGACAUUUAAAGGAGCGAGGAUGCCCUUAAGAUGAGCCAAAAUAUCAUACUUAAUUGCAUGUGAUUGACAGAGAUGAAUCCUGUAGAAUUCCCGAAAUCACCUCGAUGCCGGGCCCACUUACUGAAGACCGAGACUUUCUGCCGAAAUUUUGACAGAGUCUCUCCUGUAAAUUGAACAUUUCCCAAAAUUUCAACCUGCAUAAAACACAAUUUAUAUUCCUAACUGGCAGCAUGCACAAGAUAGUUUCAUGCAAUUCACAUAAACGGCCUUCGGCCUUUCAAUAAUUCUCAACAAACUACCAAGCACUCUAUCAACUCUAUUCAUACCUUAAACAAGGCAAACAAUAAAUUUAAUUAUGAAUACUAAAUACAACAUGCAUCAUCUAACUUUUCCAAUCCUAAUAUAUGAGGUUUUAACCUACUAACACAAUCACAUAUAUGUCCGCGGCUGCACCAAAUAACCUUAGGCUGCCUACGUACCCUCAUUGAGGGAUCAAGCCACACGUAGUUCUUCCCACUAAAACUCGAUACCUUUAUUCAUCUCUCUGUAUUUCACAAUAUCUCCCCAUACGCUGGUACAACCAACGCCACGUAUAGGGUCUAUCUCAAAGCUAGAUAACCUACGCCACGCGAGACCUCAACAUCAUAUUACAAUAUCUCCCCAUACGCCGGUACGAAUAGGGUCUGUCAACACGCCGGAUAACCUACGCCACGUACGACCUCAACAUAUUGUCACAAUAUCUCCCCAUAAGCCGGUACUACCAACGCCACGUAUGGCGCCUGUCGGCAAGCCGUCCUAGCAUUCAUAGGGUGGUACUUAUAGUGUAAUCAAAAUUCGGGGAGGUACCUAAGGUAGUGCUUAUAGCACUUCAAAUUGACAUUCCAGACUCUUUUUAUACCUUUACAAACAUAUAUAAAUAUAUAUAUUGCUUUCUAAUAUUGUGUAAACCUCAACAACAGUCUAGCAUCAGAUAAUCCCUAAAUUUAAAACAAUAAAUUAAUAUCUUAAUCCCACAUAAUCAACAUAAUUCAUCUAAUAAUCAAGACCUGUCUCUACGGUCAUUUAAAUCCUCUUGGGAAGGUGAGACUACCUCGGAAGACUCACAGUCAUCAAACGGGCCAACGGGGCCCACGACCUCCAAAGUCUGAUUCAAAAGUUCCUAUGGGUUCUACAAUGCAUAGGACACUCGUUCUGCGAGUUUGGUCCAGAUCGGACGGUCAGAUCGCUCAUGAUCGCACGAUCUAACGGUUAAUAUAAACAUAAACUUUAAAUUAUUAAAUCGGAACAUCCGGGGCUCCGCCUCACGAUCUGUGAAUUCCUACACGAUCCUAAAAUUGCCUAGAUUAACAUAUAUUAAAUUCAAGACCAUCCAAUGGUCCCAACCUAUCGAACCCGGAUAACGAGCAAUAGGCGAUAUCCAUUCGAGACUCAAACGACAUCCGAAUUGAAAUCCGCAAAAACCUACGCUCUCGUGAGGACCAGGGGAUCAUUCUAGGAUUGAAUGUUGUCUCCACCCUGCUACCCACGCACCGGCAGAGCGUGGGUGGUUUGAUCAAUUUCCGGCAGCCGGAAAAACUCCAAACCACCGGCCAAGACUCCCAGGUUAGGUAAAUCCCAUAUAGUGGAGCAACUUUUGUUCUUGGACCUACCCCAAAAAAGUCAGCGGAAGUGGCCCGAAUUGGAGGCCGAAAACCUGCCAAACUUCCAUUGCUUAAUCGACCUUCAAAACGUAGAAAUCUAUCAAAUCUAACACAACAGGCAGCAAGAACAGCUCGAGAGGUUCAGAAUCCAUACCUGGGUCGUCAGAAAUGGUGGCCAGACGACGACGAACGAAACAGGCGAAGUUUCUGUCAAAAUCGGCGUGAUUCCAAGCUUUUUCCGAUGAAAUCCGGUGGUUCCAGGGGUGGGGCUGGUCGAAAAAGGAAGAGGGAGCGACGGCGGUUUGAUCGAGUCCGACCUCGUGGCCGGUGAUGGUCCGUGUUGGCGAUGGUGGCUCUUGGAAGCCACCGCUGUGCAGAGAAAAACGGAGAGAGAGGGCGCUGAGCGCAGGGAGAGAGAGAGAGAGAAAAAAAAAAUCUGAUUUUUAUAAAAAUCCCAUUUUGAUAUAAUUACGAUUGUGCCACUGAGUUUCUUUUGACCAUAUCUCUCGCGUUACAACUCCGAUUCAAGCCCACCACGUGUCUACGGACUCAUCUUAGUACGACCUACCCAAAUAUACUAGUCAUUGGCCCAAACUCUUUUUGGGUAAGAAAAUAACCAAAAUACCCCUACCCCAAGGGUAAAAUUGUAGUUUCACUUAAAUAAUUUAAAUAAUUGAUUAAAUUUGGAGUCGGGGUGUUACAGUGGUUGUCAUGACUUCUUUGCUUUACCAGUAUCGGACUAAGGGUCCUUUUCUUUUGAGGAGGAUGAUGGAACGUCCCCUGCAACAUUUUUUUUUUUGCACAAGGCGACCUUAAUCUCUUUCGCCUUUGACUUCUGCUCGAUUUUAGAGGAAUCAUCUUCCUCAUUUUGUGCUGCUUUGUCAGCAGAUGGGAUGCUUCGACUAGAGCAUAGGUUAAUCUCAUCAACCUCUGUGUCAACCUCAUAUUCCUCCAAAAACCUUGUUGCAUUGAAUAAUUUCUUCCUCAACUUCGGAUUCACUUGAGAAGAACACAACUGGCAAAAACUCAGUCAGUGUGACCGGGACCCUCGUGGGUUGAUCAUAUUCAUCAUUUUGAGGGAUUUGAACUUUCUUUUGCACCUUCUUCUUCCUCCUAUUAUUUUUCAAGGACGACAUACCUCGAAUCUUGACACCAGGACGAGUAAUAGAUCUGUGAUUGGGUGGGUAAUGUUUGGCCAUGUGCGUGGCUCUUUUAACAAAUGCCUUCCACCCCUCAGCAGAUUUGUCGGCCGAAGAAUCUUCCCACAUCUCUAGACUAGGUGCAGUUAUGAGCUCAUGAAGUGUGGGAAUUUGAAUAUCACUAGACCUGGUGCAUUUGGACAGGAAUGUACAAUUGUGCCCCAAUUGUCGGUAUUAAUACCUGUAAAUUUCGCUCUCUCUGGUAAUGCAACGGUAGGUGUGAGCUUUUCCUCAAUCAUAUUUGAUGUAGUUGAUUGAUGUCGAGAAGAAGAGUCUAUCUCCAAACCACCAUUGUUGAGGAGCUCUUAGAUUUUGUCCUUUAGGAUAUAACACUCCUUGAGCGUAUGACUAGUGAGGCAAUGAUACCGACAAUAUCUAGGGUCAUUUGUCUUGUUGGCCUCAACAGGAUGCUUUGAUUCUGGCAGGGUAAUAGCGUUAGAGGCAAGAAGCUGGUCAAAGGUUUCUUCUACAUCAUCAUCGUCAAAAGAAUAUUUGACCUCUUUGCAUUCUUUAAGAGUGAGCCUUUUGGGUGGGUCUUUGCAUUGGCCUUUCUCAUUUUUCUUUUUUGUUCUAAAAAAAGUGGCCAACGACUCUCCCUUACCAGACUUCUUAUCAUUUUUCUUUUCCCCAAAUUGAAUUUUUUGGGUUGCAGACUUUUGGCGAGCAAUUUGUCUUUCAACAUUGCUCACCUUUGACACUAAAGCAUCAAAAGAUUGGGGUUCAACGGCGGCAACAGAAGUUGCAAUAUCUGGCAUGAGGUUGUUGUAGCACAUUUACACUACUGAUUGCUCGGUAAUUUUCUCCGGGCAUUGAAGAUUGAGACUCCUCCAUCUCAUUACGAAGUCAUUGGCACUUUCCCUGGCUUUUGGGUAGUUUGAGCUAGGUCCAUGAUCGAUACCUUCUUCUUAGAACUAACAAAAUGUGCCAAAAAUUCUUUUUGCAUGUCGUCCCAUGUCAGGAUAGAGCCUGGCAGUAGUUGUGUAUACCAAGUAAAAUCUUAUCCUUUUAGGGAUUGGACAAAUUGACAAACCAGGAGAGCGUCUGACUGGGAUGUCUCACCACAUGCUCAAUAAAAAUUUGCCAUAUAUUCAUGGGGUGAGCUAUUUAUGCCAUCAAAUUUAUCGAAAAUGGGUCGUUGAAACCCUUCGGGAAUGGGAUGGUGUCAUAGUGAGAAGGGAAGGGUUUUUGAUAUCCAUGAAUAGGAAGUGCUAUGGACAUUUGGAACUCAUGAAUCCCCUCAACAAUUAAUGCCUUUAUGUCGUUUGGAGAAAUUGUGCUCGUAGAGCCCUCUCCUUUUUCCUCUUUUCUUUGUUGUUCAUGGGUCACAAAUUCAAUUGCUUUGCCCCUGUCUUGCUCACCUAUGAUGGCUUUUCCUUUCAACUGAGCAAAUAGUAACGUUAUUUCUGCGUCUUUCUCUGCUAACUUCCGCUGCAUUUUCCUUCGCAUGUCUUGCAUCAUUUCUUGGAUUAAGGGUAAUUGGUCUUCAAUAUUAGAAGUACCAGUCAUCAUCACUUGCAUGCUUUCCACUCCCUCAUGAAGUUUGGCCCCUUGGAAUGCUAUGUAAUCAUUCUCUUGAGUUUGAGAUACGGGAUCAUCAUAAAGAGGAUUCCAUAGCAAAUAAUUGUCCAAGCAGGUUGAGUUUAGAGCGGAUAACUCGGAAAUAAUCAUCCCCAUCAUGUCUCAGGAUUUGGAACGGGUCAAUGGUCCCAUGUAGGACCUCAACUAAUCUUGAGGUUUUGUGACUGCCCCCUGUGAUAUGGGAAUUUGAUUCCUUAAAGCAUCAGUUGUCUUCGCCUUUUGCAUGAGCUUUCUUUGUUCCAACCAAUGCCGUCUUGUCUUCAAGCCUUUUAGUUAGUCCACAAAAGAGUUGAUCGCAGAAUGCGAUUAAUCUCUUUUGCGUUCACGGUGGUAAAUACACCUCCAUAGGCUUGAAGUUUCAUUGAUCGCCUACGUAAAUAUUCCCCUGCUUGAAUAAUCAACAGAAUGGAAAGUGAGGCUCCCCUACAGGAACCGAACGAUACUUCAAAAUAAGGAAAGAAAGGUAGACAAGCAAGUAGGCUGCCCCAAGCUCGGCUCGCUCCUUUACAACUACAAAGUAAAUCUAGGUAGGGGUACUGAAAAAGCAUCCUAUUAUGAAGAAUUUCCUUUGUAAGAGAGUGAGGCUCCCCUACAGGAGCCGAACGUUCCUUCAACAAAAGAUGGGGAUUAGUAUCAACAUAAGUCCUCGAUGGACAGAGAAAAACAUUGUCUUUGCUGUUGUGGGGAAGAAUUUUUACUGAAGCCGAAAGGUAUCCUAAAGGAAUGGUAGCACCACAAUCCACCCAGCCGCGGCCAUCUUAAACGGUUCGUGCGACGGCGGAGGAGGCAGGUUUGGUAUAAUCCAUUCAAUCUUCUUCUUUUCUUUCUCUUUUUCUGAAUUUUCCUCUUCCCACCAAAGGCCCUAUUAGCAUCAAAAUAUUCCAUUCCCUGCCUUGACAUCGAGAUACCCGCUACAACCAACAAGGAAAUAAAACCUCACUGGUGUGCGCCACUCAAUAAUCCUAGCGGGCCCAAUGAGAAGAGACCCACCCGCCCUCUCUCUCUCAUUUAUUCAGCGAAAAAAAACUACAUAACGGGGGCCCUUCCGUUCAGAGGUAGCAUAUUCUUCAAACUUAAUGCACAAAUAGAUGGAAUAGCAGCAAAUAGCAUCUUUCUGGCAUGCAUAUGAUAAAACUAGAAGACAUAGUUGAUUAGAUCAAGAAACUUAAAAAUAUCCUGACAUAACCAACUAUUCGACCCAUGUAACAUUAUAUCAUAGUAUGAAUCCGUCAAAAAGCCUGGCAUGUGAAUCGCUUCCUCCCCCAUCACCGUCUGAACAAGGCCCGGCAUGUUCCAUUCCGGGGGUAAUUGCUUAUCGGACCUCGACACCUACUUGGUGUAUUCCGAAUAAAGCGCCUCAAAUAUUUGCUCACACUCAGGUGGAGCGCUUUGCGCUCUCCGGGUGUACCGCCCACUGAGAAUUGGUGAGGUGACGUCCCUAGCUAAAUGGUUUGAGAAUGGAACAGCCCGUCCAUCUUCUGCUGAACGGUAGGGUAGGGGUAGCAAGGCCAGGAAGUAGAGAUUAGCCUUCUCGCAUUUCUAUUCUUAGUCAAUUAUAUUUGUCUUAUCGUUGAAGCGUGCUGCUGCUCCUGUCGAGAGGUCUUACUUAGAUCACAUUGGGCUUGGGAUGGGACAAGCUUCUCUAUCAAUUGGUAAAUCUGAGCCUUAAUCUUUCUAUUCAAAUAAGGGUUAUAAAAUAUGAAUAUUUAGUAAGAAGCCAUCCACGCCGAGGUUAACAAAGAAUUGGAUUUCCCAUGAAAAAAUAAUUUUAAGCCAAAGCAAGUACAUCUGAUAUCGAUCACUCUACGAUCAGACCCUUUCCCCCAUAUGACCGCUAUCAAAGAGAAGCUUUUUCCUAUACUAUAGUUGCAAGUCUAUUGUUGUGUUUUGGAAUUAGGGGAAGCAAAGCUUCAACAAGUAGAAGCUUCCUGGCAAAGCUUCAAACAAAGAGGUUGGGCUGUUCACUUCAUUGAUUUUACUUAACUUUACUUAAGAUUAAAGAUAGGGGCCGGGCGGGUAGUGAAGGCUCGUUUAGUAGACAGCACGGCUUUGACGAGCAGCAAGCACCUACUCCUAACAAAAUGAAAAGCAGCAAGCGGAGCGGAGCUUGAAGAAGCGAGCCCCUUUCAGAGAAAGCCAUUGCACGCUAGCCCCCUGUAUGGGGCUCCAAACCUGCGCACCCCUAAACUACAACAAGCUUUGAAGCCCCUACUUAUUUAUGGGAUAUUUUAAGAAGCCCCUUUCUACAAAACAAACCUUUCUAUAAUAUAAGGGAAGCUCAAAGAGCUUUCUUCGCAUGCUUGAGCGCAUCUUUCCCCUUUCUAUUAGUAAGGUUUUCAAAAGGUAGUUUACUUGCUUACUUGUUAGAGUAAGGAGAAACUUUACUUUGAAAAAGAAGCGCCUUCUAUUAUAAUAUUAGUAAAGGCGCCUUAGCCUAUCUAUAAUAGUAAUGGGCCUUUUCUUGCUCGUUAGCGCCCUUGCCAAUAAGUGAAGGACUGGGCUUCCACUCUCGCUGCAGCCGAGCGCCUCGAAGUUCAGGCAUUAGGUUGGACAAAGAAAAGAGAAGUCGAGUGGGCCUAUAUAACUCCUUAGAAAAAAAAAAUGGGAAUGGAUCCGCGCGAGGAGGGACAAGUUUGCUAGUGACCAAGCAUCGAGUCAAGCUAGCUAGAAAAGACUAAUGCCCAAACAAAGGGUGAAGAAAGGCUAGUCAUAUUCUUUUCACUGCCCUUAUAAACAAUCCUAAUCAUUCACUUUAUAGUACUCUCGACCUUAAAUUCCCUUGUUUCGUCGUGGCACACCCCCCCAUAAGCACCCCCCGGCUCAGGGGGGGACCAGAAAACGCCUUCCGUUUUCCCUCCUUCGUCGGCCCUUGCCGCCUUCCUUAACAAGCCCUCAAGCCUCCUUUGCACCGCCUUCCUCAUAGAAGCCGCCGGGUUGACCCCGAAGGCUGAAUUCUAUGGUAGAGAACGCUGUAAUAAUAAUUGGGCCAUGAGAGACCUUAUUAAGUAUUGCAAAAGAAAGGGCUUGCUGAUAGAGCUGGGCGGGGAGGCGAUACUAGUUAUCAGGUCAGAGAGACGCCUGGCCCGUAAGCCGGCCCCCUUAAAACCCCAUUACUUAAUAAGGAUUUGUUACGCGCGAUAUGCCGAGGACUUACUACUGGGAAUCGUGAGCUAGUCCUAAAGCCGAAAGACGAAGGCAGCAAGGCGAAAGGAACAAGGGCAAAGUCAGGAAUAAGGAUUGUUUGUUACACGACUUAUCGAUUUCACCGGCUAGCUGAGGCUAGCCCGUACUAACAGAAGGUCAGGAAUGAGACAGCUACUAGUGGCAGAAGGAAAGAAAGAACUUUCAGACCCCGUCCCCUUACUCUCGAUCCUGAUAUAGGCAACAAACGAAAAUGGGAUAUGGCACUCAAUCUGCACUUGAUGGUACGCGGGAUCCUUCAACUAAACCGGCACUUAGAAUUGGCUUCCGGGUGAAAGGAUCAUGGCCGAUCUCAAGUGUGAUCCCAAGGAUCUAUGAAUCCCUCAUAAAGGGAGUGUAAAGUAAAAGCCCCGAAAGAAGGGCAUCUUUGUAGAAAGAAAGAAGUUGUCCUACUGCUUACUCUCUUUUCCUUAGCACCAAUAUGCUCUAGAAAGCUACAGCAUCCCACUAUUCCUUAUUUUUGAUAGCACAGGAAAGGGACGAUUCUCUGUGCCUACCUAUCCCCGAUCACACAGGAAUGCUCGCUUGGCUGCUUACCAAUCCUUUCAUUUUUAGACAAUUCCUCGCGCAUCAAAAAACUUCUAGUAAAGCGAAGGAGACCCACUUCCCACUUCUCCUUCCCCGCCCCAUUUCUGGGGCGGGCCUCGUUCUUAUUGAGCGUACCACCGCUAAAAAAGACUACAACCCAAAAAGAAAUCUCGAGAGAGACGUUUUCAAGUUUCAUAAAAAACUCUAUCGGAAUACGAAUGAGAUCAAAAAGGCCAUCAUUAAUGCAAACAGGGCAAUAGUUUGAUACGAUAUGUGGUGGCCCUCGGGCAUAGAAAAAAGAAGUACAAUUAAAGAAUAUUUAACCUAAACUAAAUAAUACCAUAAAUCAAUUGAAUAUACUCGAAAGCUGCCUCCCAAUAGCAACUAUGAAAGCCACACUCUAAAAGGUUCGAAUAGACAUCCGAUAGAUAAGAGGGGUCGAAGACCUCCUCUUCCCCAAGCACCAGCUGGGUAAAUCCUUCGAGAGUCCAGGUGGAUGGCAAGUUCGCCCCUAUUUCCUCUAUCUUCCCUUGAAAGAACACACACACAUUUCGAAAUUCUUGACUCAUGUCAUUUAUAUUUAGAUCUAGUGGGGAAUAAUAAGUGAGCUCAUCCCGGAUCCCAGUGGACGCCUCAGAAGCGGAACUAUUGGAGACCGGGCAGGCCCUUAUAAAAUAACUUCCCUCAGAUGGAGAAGAUUCUGAAAAGGAAAUCUCAAUCCAAUCGCUGGGUGAAUAACGAGUGGGACCGGUUGGAUCAAACUGUGAUCCGUACUGAAAAAUAGAAAGCUUACGUUUCAUUCUAAUAUGAAUUAUUUUACUCUUAAAGCACACCGCUUGCCUAUUCCGACUAAGCAGCCCGGUGUGCUUCUUAAUGAGAAGCAAAACCAGAACGCCUAAGCCGGCUCAACGGCAGGCUUCUCUGGUGGCGGUAUCCCUUACCUGACAUCAGUUAUCAAUCUUUCUUUUGGUCCCGCGGUUGAGUUCUUUUUUAUAUAGAUAGUCGUGUGAUUACUUUCAUUUUAUAGAGUUUCAUCUUAUUUAUCAGAAAGCUAGCGAGGCCGCAUCACUAGAGCACUAGUGGAAGACCUAUCUUUUCUAUCAUAUUUUAAUUGGAAGUUGGCAUGCACAAGCAAGAAAAUGGUAGCGUCUAACACGCAAGGGCCUUGCUUCUUUAGGAUAAAAGCCAUUCUUUUUGGCUUAGUUUACUGCCAGAAUUUGGAAAGAUUAUUGGUUCUUUAUGAGCGAUGGACUGAAAAUGAUCUGAUUGGUCUUGUUAGGUAGCUCAGUUAUAGCUAUUGAAAUUUAGCUAUUGCUAUUGCUAUUAUGAAACAAGAAGUCUACCCAGAGUUGUUAAAUCCUUUCAUUCUGAAUGAUUGCAUUACGGAUUGUAUUGCAAUUGUCUUGCAAGCAACCUAGCUUGUUGGGUGGGCACGGUGGGGCGUCGCUUUAUUUAAAAGUGAAGGAGUUGCCCCUCUGAGAUGAAGGAGCUGUUCGUUCGCCCCAGGUUCUAAAGAACCAGACUGCUUCACUCCAGGCCCGAAGUACUGUGCUAUGCUAUCCCCCCGCGUAAGGUUUUAGAGGUUGCGGGUUACUCACAUCUCACCAUCCAAGUAUCAGAUCCACCUUCGUACCUCAAAGGCGUGUCUAAAUCUAUCCCACUUCCACUCACACCAACUCCUACUCCCGAUUCAACUACUCCAAAAAGUACUUCCAUAUCCUCCAUUUCAUCCAAGCCUUCGAUUCCGAUAACCACAAACCAUUCUGUGAUAAAAGAAGUAUCCCUCAGUGCACUUUCAGCUGCUUUCUUUAGGUCUCCAAUAGUUGCAUGCAUAGGCACUACUACUAUCUCACCAGGUGGCAAGCCCCUCUUGACUUCAAUUUCCUUAUCAGUUGAACUGGGCAAGAGUCGGCAAAUGAUUGUCAACCACUGAUCUUCCUCUCCCUUUGGUCGAGCUACUUUCCUCUUCCUCAUCCUUAAUUGGAAAUUCCUUCACGAAGUGCUUGGUGUCCAAUAUUGCUUAAAUAGCCAACUCUACCAACUCUGAUUCUGGGUAUCCUAGCAGCACAUGCUCAUACAGAUAGAGCACAUCAUUCCUAACAUCAACUCCAGGAACUAGAGCUGCUGAUGAAAGGGACUGAAGAACUAUCUCUUUCAGAGCCGUUUUGGCGGGGUGUACUAAACUCACUACGUACCACACCACCGGGUGGCUCGCCUGAAUGCCGAAUCUUUUCCCGCCGCCAACUCGACGUCAUCGUCACCUGCAAGAUAAGGCCAAAAACUUGACUUUACUAAACAAGCGUGUUGGCACUCAAUUAGCAGCGCUGGCACGUCACUCGGCUCCUCGGCUCACUUCGGUUGCAAAGACUUUCUCCUUAGGCGCAUGUCUCAGCAACACAAAACGAGGGUUUCGCUCGUUAUAGGACUUGACCAAACAUCUCACGACACUAGCUGACGACAGCCAUGCAGCACCUGUAUGAAAGUAAGUACCAUCCCGAGAUACCUGUCCGAUCUAUCAGGGGGUUACUUAAAUGAGCCAACAGGUGGCCUAUAUGAUCGUUACCGCCUCUUAAGUUCAGGUGACAUUAAUAAUUUUUAUAUUGAUAUUGGAAGAGAAAAGAAUUAAGAGAAACUGUGUCUUGUAAUAACAAGCUGCAGGGUCAGGCCUUUCAAAUCAACAGUCAUUGGUUGAAAUGUCUUAAAUAUAAUGAGGACUCAUUUGUUGAAUCUAGUUUACUCAUGCCAAGAUUUCUAUCCUCUAUGAAUAUCAAAGAUGUAUCCAACUUACUUAGAGAGUUUCACAUGAAGGAUGAGCUUAUUAAUAAAUUAUGUAACUUUAGCGAAUUGUUACAUACUUUAUCUAAGAACAUACAGCAAUCUCGUUAUGAGAAUUUGAUUAUGAAGCUGGCACAAGCCUACGAAGGCUAUCAUUUUUAUUUGCCAGCCUUUCUCGACUUCUGAGGUCGAAUCUACCGCAGUGGUGUCUUGCAUUUCCACGAGCGUGAAUCUAGCAAGAAGCAUGAUCGUCUUUGCGGAUAUCAAAUCUAGUGGCAAUAUUGACAUGAAUGCAUAUCUCGCCGCAGCAGCCUUCCAUUACAAGUCUUUCGUCUCUGUUGACGAGGCAUUAUACUUUUCUAAUAACAACUUCUUGCAGCUCAGUCAUGAUGAUGAUCUUCUCAUGUACGCUCCGGAGGCUAAACGCCCCUUUCAGCUCUUCGCCCGUCUUCAAGAUAUGCCUUUUAUAUAUAAUACUUUUAUUAUUAUACAGGUGAGUAAGGUUCCUUCUGGGAACUCCUGCCUUUGUUUGGAUGGACCAUAGGCCUGAUGCUAGGAAGCAAGAAGCUAGAAUAGUGUAGUGUAGUUCAAGCAUUAAAAGGCAGCUAAGGCAAGAAAUCAGUACACGAAUCCCCGGCAUUUAGAAAGAUAUGCCCGCCCCCUCUCUUAACUUUAAUACACUGUGACUAAGAGACUCUCUUCAAGUGGAGUGCAGCCAGUGCUUUAGGGGUUGAGGGGGGAGAACAAAUGAAGCCCUUAUACUUUUCUUUUCCUUAAGGCUUUCCCCCUUCAAAAGCUAGUCUAAUCACGGAAUAACCUGUCGUAUUGGACUUAUGAUGUACUUUCCUUUAUUGAGUAGCUAAUUCAUACCUAUCAUAGACAGAAAAAAGUUAUAUUACCUUUUCCUUUAACACUAGACUUGUGUAAUAGGAUCUUUCCAAAGGUGGAGUUAAGGCAGCAAGCAUAGGUGCUUCAGUUUCCGGUACCGGGUAAUCCGAUAUGUGUAAAUAAAAUCCGUCCUGGUAGGUGCAGUAGAUCAAGCAAAGCAUGACGGUCUUCAGUCUUCAGGAGCAACCAAGCGACUACAUAUCUAACUCUGACUCUUGUCUCUCUUGCGGUCAGUCGCUCACUAUGGCUGUUGCUCCUCCGCUUCCUUUGAAGGUUUCGAUUGACAUAGAUGUAAUUAAAAGGGGCGACGCGGUCUACUAUAAAGGAACAAGCACGAUUGUAAGUUUAUUUAUCCAGCGCUAGGACUAGGAAAGGAGUCGAACGGUAUAAAGGGGUUUGGUUUCAUUAUCUUGUUUGUACGGGAUUCCUUAAGCAACAGGUAAACUUAAACAUUCAUGAAGGAAUGCUGAAAGAGAGUGAGACUCCCUCUACAGGAGUCGAACGAGACUUCAUAAGGGGCAAAAAUACGACUCAAGUAAGACUUAUAGAGUUAGAUCUCCCCCCUCGGGGGGGGAGGGAAACGGUCCUUUCCUUGCUUUCUUUCUUUCUUUCUUUCUUCUUCUCUAAGACACUGUAGAUCUAACUCAGCAAUAACAGCUACUGUGCUUCUUGAUCCCCUAAGGCACUCCACGCUUUAAAACGAAAAGGGACUAACCUAACUCGAAUGACCCUUGCCUAGCGGGAGUUAUCGACCAAAUGAGUUAGCGGACAGCUUCGGCGAAGGCAGUCAACAGGCACUCAAAAUGUCCUUUAGUAGCUUAACCGGGCCGUAAUGAUAAUUAAAAAAGCUUUACGCCGACUCCAUGGUUGUUCAAGUGACAUUACAAAGAGACACCUCUUCCCUCGGCUGGAACUACCACUCAAACUAGAUCGCUGACAGAAGGAAGGUAACUAUAAGGGCUUAAAACUGGCCUGGUAAGAGACUCCACUCCAAUGAGAACUCAAACUGGAUUGAAUGCAGGGGUUUCUUUGUGGAUGAGGUAUGUUCACCACCUUCCUUUUCAUCACGAUCGCUUUGCUUUUAUCCUUGGAAGAACAAGGGUAAACCUCUUGUGAUGUGGAUUCCACAACAUGGGCUCUAGGGCUUGAUGGAGGUUUGGCCCUUUAGACCUCAGCGUUCUUCACAGAGUUAUCCUUUUGACUUUCCUCGCUAGUUUCAUUGGUGGAAGUCAUCAGAACAGAAUAUAUAUGAUACAUGUUGACCGGGAUUGAUCCAAUCAUGAUUUGGACAAAAUGGGUGGUAUUACUCUUCUUGGGUGUAGGCACAAUCAAGGUGCUUGAAGUGUUCUUGCUUACAGUCGCCAUUGGGUUAUCC
rnacentral:lncRNA from 1 species